GGGGCUGUAUAAAUUGUUGGCUAAGGUGCUGGCUAAUAGACUCAAGAAAGUGAUAGGAAAAGUGGUCUCCCCUGAUCAGAAUGCUUUUGUCAUGGGUAGGCAGAUUCUAGAUGCCAUUGACUCAUGGCAAAAAAGGGGAGAGAAAGGCCUAAUUUGCAAAUUGGAUAUCGAGAAGGCGUAUGACAGCAUUAACUGGCAGUUUUUGCUGAAGGUUUUGCAAAAAAUAGGGUUUGGGCCAAAGUGGUUGGGUUGGAUGUGGAGUUGUAUUUCUAUAGCCAAGUUUUCAGUUUUGGUGAAUAGAGUGUCAGUCGGUUUCUUCCCAAGUUCAAAGGGGCUGCGCCAAGGAGACCCUCUUUCCCCCUACCUCUUUGUCAUGGGAAUGGAAUUGCUGAGUGUUCUAAUUAGGAGGGCUGUUGAAGGGGGUUUUCUUUCUAGGUGUAGCAUCCGGGGUGGUAGAAGACCGACUGUCAACAUAUCACACUUACUCUUUGCUGAUGAUACAUUUGUUUUUUGUGAGGCAAAGAAGGAGCACUUAACGCAUUUGAGCUGGAUUCUUUUUUGGUGUGAAGCUGCUUCAGGGUUAAGGAUUAAUUUGGCUAAAAGUGAAAUUAUCCCAGUUGGUGAGGUGGAAGAGGUUGACGAGAUGGUAGUGGAGUUAGGAUGUAGGGUGAGGCUUUUGCCUUCAGUCUAUUUGGGGCUGCCCUUGGGGGCGCCUAAUAAAGCUUAUUCUAUGUGGGAUGGGGUGGAAGAGAGUGAGGAGGAGACUUGCGCUUUGGAAACGUCAGUAUAUUUCCAAAGGUGGGAGAAUCACUCUUAUAAAGAGCAAGACGGCUAGUAUGCCCUUGUAUCAAAUGUCCCUUUUUCCGUAUGCCCAAGACAAUGGCAAGGAGGUUAGAAAAGUUGCAAAGAGAUUUUCUGUGGGGAAGAGGAAAUCUGGAAAGGAAAGCCCACUUAGUUAACUGGGAGGUGGUUUGUGCGGAUAAGGAAAAGGGGGGGCUUGACUUAAGGAAACUAGCUCUUUUGAACAAAGCCUUGCUUGGCAAAUGGAUAUGGAGAUUUGCUUGUGUUAAGGAUGAUCUUUGGAAGCAGGUGCUUGUGGCGAAGCAUGGGCAAGAGGAUUUUGGUUGGAGGACAAAGAAGGCAAAUGGGGCGUUUGGAAGGAGAUCUUGAGGGAAUCGGAUUGGUGCUGGGAAAAUUUGGCGUUUAAUGUGGGAAAAGGCACCAAAAUCAGAUUUUGGACUGAUCUUUGGUGCGGGUGUACAAUGCUGUCCCAAAGAUUCCCUCAUCUUUAUGCUAUGGCUAUUCAUAGGAAUGCCAUAGUGGAAGACAUGUGGGACCAGAAUUUCGGCCAAGGAGGCUGGAAUUUAAGGUUUCUUAGGGACUUUAAUGAUUUGGAAUUGGAUAUGGUAGGUAAUUUGCUUCAUGUUUUGAGGGGUCACAGGAUUACUUUGGAGGAAGACUUGGUCUGUUGGAAGGGAGGAAGAAACGGGCAGUUCAGAGUCAAGAAAGCGUACAGCUCGUUGGUCAGCCCCAUUGUCUCCGUUUUUCCGAAACGUGGCAUUUGGGUGGAUAGAGUUCCAACCAAAAUUGUGUUCUUUGCUUGGGAGGCCACUUGGGGGAAGGUGCUUACCCUAGAUAGGCUCCAGAAAAGAGGGUGGCAGCUCCUUAAUUGUUGUUUCUUGUGUGGCUGUGAAGAGGAAACUGUAAAUCAUAUUCUCAUACACUGUACAGUGGUCAAAGUGCUGUGGGAUAUUGUUCUUGAUUUGUUUGGUGUUCAGUGGGUCUUUCCAGAAACUGUAAAGGAGGUCUUAUUUAGCUGGAGGGGCUCUUUUGUGGGAAAAAAAGGAAAAAGAUUUGGAAAUCUAUUCCGCUGUACACUUUUUAGACGGUUUGGAAGGAGAGAAAUAGACUAGCUUUUAGGGAGAAAGGGAGGGAGGGGGGAGGGGGGAUGGUGUUAGCAAUUCAGAAGCUCAAAAAUUCUUUUGUUUGUAAUUUAUGGGGUUGGGCUAAAUUGUAUAUUGGAGAGGAGUCGCUCUCCCUAGCUUCUUGGAGUGGUUAGCCUCCAGUUAAGGGUUGGUGAGUUUUUUUGUUUUUCUUUUUUGGUUGUGAGGCCUUAACUGCCUAAUAUACCCCCUGUAUGCUUUGUGGCUUUUUUGCCUUUUGUUAUACAAUCCGUGCUUAUUUAUAAAAAAAAAUUAAUCUUUGAAUGGUGUGCUGUAGGUAAACCAAGCUAGUUGGAAACUAGAGGUGUGAUUGGGGAUUAGUAUGGUACAAUGUUGAGAAUCAUCUCUAAAUUAGAAGGGGAAGGUUUGAUUAUUAAGGUAGAGGUUUUAACUCUUUUGGAUGGUUUAUUUUAAGUUAAGGCUCUAGAUUUUUUUUUUUUUUUGAAGAGGGAGACUUUGCUUUAGUUAUCUCAUGGGGGAUAUAAGUCGGAUAAAUGUCCUUAGAAGUAUUCAUAUGGCUCCAUCAAAUCCUAGAUCUAGUUAAGAGUUUAGGUUGUCCCCUUUUCUUGGUCUCCUCAUUUAGCUAAUGAGGUUGCACAUUGAUUGGCUAAACAUGGAGCUAAGCAAAUUUUUAUUUUUUUUAUUAUUUUUUUUUGCAAGUGAUUUUUUUUUUACCUCCUUGAAUUUUACAUUGUUGUAUAUUUUGUAAAUCUUCUUGUUUCAUUCUUGAUUGAUUUAUCUACCUUGCUUUUUUUUUUUUUUGGGUUAGGUUUUUCCUUUUUUUAUUUUUAUUUUUUAUCAUCCUUUGUAUUUUGGAAGGACUUUUCAUCCUUCACUUGUAUGUAAGCCAUGUAAAUAAAUACUUUUUUUUGGUUUAAAAUAAAAAUUUCUAUAUGAUUUGACUAUCUUUUUUUUUUUUCUUUUUAUCCUUAUUGGCAUAAUAGUUAAAAACUUACGAUACUUGAUACAAUAUAUAUUUUUUUUAUAGAAAUCAAUACAUAUGACAAUCCGUUUUUUAUUUUAAAGUGUAUCUUACAAUAUAUAUACGAUACAGAUAUGGUAUGUGAUAUUAUGAUAUAAUGAUACAUGCAUCUUUAACUAUCUUCUAUAAUUUUUUUUAAAAAUGAUUUUUUUUUUUUUUUUGUUAAAAGAAUUUAUUAUAUUACUUGUUUAAAAUAUACUAAAAGAUUAAAAAUUGAUCAUAAAAGGACAAAUGGGUAAAAUAAUCUUAUAUGAAAAGCUACAUUCUUGUUGUCAGAUGUUAUAUUAGAAGUCAAGUAAGUUUAUUUUUACAAUGAAUAUUGGGGAUUUUUAUAGUCUUAUUUAUUUUUCACUAUACAAACAGACUUAUGAUACACGAUACAAUAUGAUACAUGAUACAGAAAAAUAGGAAAACGAUAUACAAUGUGUUUUACAAGUUGACAACUAAUGCCUAUUGGGACUUGAACUUGAAACCUCCCAUAAACCCACCCUAACCUUACUCUUACUAUACUACUUUAUUGGCUAACUAGGUUCCAAUAUCCAUAUUUUGUUGUACCAUUGAUGAAAUUAUGAUGUUACUCAUCUAAGAGCUUUUAACAUAUUAUGCAGGGUGGGGGCCACAUUGCACAAUCUUGGGCAAUUUUAUGUCAUGCGUAAAAAAUUGGAAGAUGCUCGAAUAUGCUAUGAGGUAAUGGAGUAUCUAUUUUCGAGUUUUAUUACAUGUCUUGAGAUGUACUCAUUUUGGCUACUUGUGGAUUAACUUGUGAUUCUAGCUUACAUAAUCAAAUGUUUGGUUGACUAAUAUGUCAAUAUUAAUUAAAAAUUCAUGAUUAGUAGAGCAAAAAAAUAUGAUUAUAUUUAAACUUCAACUAUUGGCAAUGAUCUUCUAUGGAAUCAUAUAAUAUGCAUCCAUGAAGUUUAUUUCCAUUUCACUAUGAUGCCUUCAGUGAAGUGGAAAAGGGAAGAAAUGCCUUAUGAGUGUCUUGAAAUUACUAGUUACAUUAGAGAAGUUUUGUUUUUGUUAUUUUUACUUUUUUCUUUUUUUCUAUUAUCUUUUUAUAUAAUUAUAUUUUUCAUUUUGUCAACUCAAUUUUAAUAUUUAAGAAAGUUCUUUUACUUAUAUUUAUUUUAUUUUAAAAAGAAAAGGAAAUUAAAAGAAGAUGUUUGAGACAUAGAGAUCAUAGAUGAAGGGUAGUAUCACAUAAGAAAUAAUGCCCAAGCAUGGAUUUAAAAAUACUCUAGCAAGUACAAUUGCUCAAAAUUGGUUAUUUGUUCUUUCUUAGUCACAACAAAGAUAGUCUUAGAUGAAGAAAGGGUCUUCUAGCUUACCUUUGUGUAUGGUCCCAUCAAUAACUCUCUAAGAGAGGAUUUUUCAAUGGAGCUAACAUAAUUUUUUGGUUUAACUUUUUUGAAACGGUGUGGAGGGAGGAAUGGAUUUUAAUGUCAUAAGGAGAAUUUUGGAGAAGAUGGAUUGUGUUUUCAUUCAGAUCUAGAACCCUUUUUUGAAAUGCUUUCUGCUCCCUUUUUUGUAUAGGAUUACAUAUGAAUAUAUACAGAAUAAUUGUAUAAAAAUAGCCUAGGAAAUAAUGACUACGAUCAUGCUAUCAAAGAUAAAUAAGUUAUCUGAAGAAUGCUAAGAAAGGAAAAAAUCCUAGGAGAUUCUAUGUACAACUAUACAAUUAUUACAACUCAUAUGGGCUAGAAAAAUGGUCAACACAAUCUGCCAGAAUUUCCAACUGGCAGAUUUUCCAACACUCCCCCUCAAGCUGAGGAAUAAAUAUUUCUCAUUCCUAGCUUGCUUAAGAUAGUUUGAAACUGCCAAGUAGGAAGCCCCUUUGUUAGAAUAUCAGCCAACUGCCCCUUUGUAGGAAUAUAAGGAGUUCAAAUCAGCCCAUUUUUAAGUUUCUCUUUUAUAAAAUGUCGGUCCACUUCCACGUGUUUAGUUCGAUCAUGUUGCACUGGAUUGUGUGCAAUGCUGAUGGCUGACUUGAUGUCACAAUAGAGUUUCAUAGGUUCUUUCCAUUUGAUUCCAAGGUCACUUAGUAUUAUCUUGAUCCAAAGAAGCUCACAGAUUCCAUGUGCCAUAGCCCUGAAUUCCGCUUCUGCACUAGACCUUGCUACCACUGAUUGCUUCUUACUUCUCCAGGUCACUAUGUUUCCUCCUAAAAACGUGCAAUACCCUGAUGUUGAUCUUCAGUCUAUUAUUGACCCAGCCUAAUCAGCAUCUGUGUAUGCUUCUAAGAUCAAACUCCCUCCCCUUUUAAAAUGAAUGCCUUGGCCAAGUGAAGACUUUAGGUACUUUAGCACUUUAAAUAGUGCUUCCAUGUGCACUUCUCUAGGAUCAUGCAUGAAUUGACUUACCACACUCAUUGCAUAGGCUAUGUCAGGUCUUGUGUGAGCUAAGUAUAUCAAUUUCCCCACUAGGUGUUGAUAUCUUUCUUUAUUUAUUGGAGUCCUUCCUUUUCCUUCAUUUAGCUUGUGAGAUUGUUCUAUUGGGGUCUCUGCUGGUUUGCAACCACUCAUUCCUAUCUCCUUUAGUAGAUCUAGAGUGUAUUUCUGUUGUGAGAUUACGAUUCCUUCAAUGGAGUGUGCAACUUCAAUCCUUGGGAAGUAUUUGAGCUUCCCUAGGUCUUUGAUUUCAAAUUCCUUAGCUAGUUGCCUUUUUAAUUUCUCCAUUUCUGCAGGGUCAUUUCCUAUCAAGGCUAUGUCAUCAACAUAUACAAUAAGGGCUAUUACCUUGUUCAUUUCUGUUUGUUUGAAGAAUAAGGUAUGAUCCCCUUGACUCUGGUUGUAUCCCAUACUGUUCAUUGUCUUUGUAAAUCUUCCAAACCAGGCUCUAGGUGACUGUUUAAGUCCAUAAAGAGCCUUCUUGAGCUUGCAUACUUUGCCUUGUUCAAAUUUUUCUUCCAACCCCAUUGGCACUUCCAUAUAGACUUCCUCUUCUAUGUCUCCAUGUAAAAAGGCAUUCUUGACAUCUAGUUGCUGCAAUGACCAAUCAAGAUUAGUAGCUAAGGACAAUAAAAUCCGAAUAGUAUUCAUCUUUACCACAGGUGCAAAGCUUUCAUGGUAAUCAAUUCCAUGAGUUUGAGUGUACCCCUUUGCCACUAGUCUUGCUUUGUAUCUUUCUAGUGUGCCAUCAGCCCUAAACUUUGUGGGGAACACCCAUUUGCAACCCACCUUCCUUUUUCCUAUGGGAAGACCAACAACCUCCCAUGUGUUAUUUUUUAUUAGUGCACUCAUUUCUUCCAUCAUUGCUUUCCUCCAAUUGUCAUUUCUAAGUGCCUCUUGGACAGUUUUUGGUGUCUCUAUGGAAUUUAGUUUUGAGACAAAGGCUUUGUAAGAAGGUGAUAGUUUUUCAAGGGAAACAAAAUGGCUCAAGGGGUGUUGAGUAUAUUGUCUUUUUUCAAGAUCAAUAGAAUUAGUACCUUUUUCUGGUUGAAUGACUGGGACAUGUGGAGUUUCUGGGGCCAGUUGCUUCCUCCUUGAAUAGACCUUGAGUGGCACUUGAAGAUCCUCCCCCUCUGAACUUUGCAUAUAGGAUUCAAAUCUGGGUAACUCAGGGACAGCUUCUGGUGCAGUUUCUUAGGCAUUCUUUGGGGCAAUUGCUUGGGUAUUUUCUGAAGUAACAGCUAUAGAAAAAUCUGGCAUUACUGGUUCAGUGUUUGAGGCAUUUUCUGGGGCUGUGUUUUUGGUAUUUUCUGGAGUGACUGCUAUGGAAAAAUCUGAUCCCUUAGUUUGGACAGUUUUGGUGGAGUUCUCUAGGAUAGGAAGAGUAGGUAGGCUAGGAAAGAAUUCCUUAUCUUCUGCAAAAGGCUCCCCCUGAAGAUAAGGACUAGAAAAAAAAGGUUGUUUUUCAUUGAAUGAUACAUCCAUAGUGACAAAAAACCUUUUAGAAGCUGGGUGAUAGCACUUAUAACCCUUUUUUGUAGGAGAAUAACCAACAAAGAUACAUUUAAGGGCUCUUGGGUCAAGUUUAGUUCUUUGAUGAGCAUAUAUAUGUACAAAGGCCACACACCCAAAAAUCCUUGGGGAAAGGUGGUUGAAACCAUCAAAUUUUGGAAAAAAUCUAGACAGUGUUUCAAUAGGGCUAGAAUAGUUAAGAAUCUGAGAGGGUAGGCUAUUUAUGAGGUAUGUAGCAGUUAGGACAACCUCUCCCCAAAAUGACUUUGGAACAUUCAUUUGAAAAAUCAACGCUCUAGUGAUCUCCAAUAGAUGCCUAUUUUUAUGUUCGGCUAUCCCAUUUUGUUGGGGAGUAUCAUUAUAGGAUGAAUAAUGUAUGAUUCCUUCUUUUUGGAGAUAAGGUGUAAGGUAUUGAUUAAAAUACUCUUUUCCAUUGUUUGACCUUAUUCCUGAGACCUUGGCAUCAAACUGAUUUUUUAGCAUGUCAUGAAAAAUGGGGAAAAUUGUGCUAACCUCGGAUUUUUGUUUCAUGAGAUAUACUCAAGUAAAUCGAGGACAAUCAUCAACAAACAAAACAAACCAGCUUACUUCAGAAAUGCUAUAAACUUUAGUAGGUCCCCAAACAUCCGUAUGAAUCAAACUAAAUGGAACAAAACUUUUCUUAUUACUUAAAGGAAAAGACACACAGUGAUGUUUAGCACCCUCGCAAACAUCACAAUGGAAGUUUUGAACAUUUAGUUUUUCAAACAUAUUAGGAAAUAUUUUUUUCAACAAUAAAAAAGGUGGAUGACCAAGGCGAAAAUGGGAUAACCAAACUUGUUCCUCAGCUGGAGUAUGAUGUUUUGAUAAGUACGUAUGAGGAGCAGGACAUGUUGUGCCACUUUCAGCUUCAAGGAGAAACAGUCCCCCUUCUUCUCUAGCAUGCUCAAUCACUUUCCCAGUAAGAAGGUCCUGAAAAGAACAUUCAGAUUGUGUAAAGUUGACUGAGCAAUUUAGGUCCUUAGUAAUUUGAGGAAUAGACAACAAAUUUACUAAUAGUUUUGGAACAUGUAAGACAUUUCUUAAUGUCAGAGAAGAUGUUAAGAAGACAUCUCCUUGACCAGCCACAGUCACUAAGGUACCAUCAGCAAUUUUGAUCUUUUGAUUUCCCGGGCAAGGAAUGUAAUUAGAAAAGGCUUUUGAAGAAUUGGCCAUAUGGUCUGAAGCCCCUGAAUCAAUGAUCCAAGGGCUGGAAAACUGAAUUUUAGAGGCACUCAAAGAGAAAGAAUACUUACCUGUUUGAGCAAAAUGACUAUGCCCCUCAGGUUUUUCUAGCUUGGAAAUGAAUCUUUUAAGUUUGUCAAUUUCCUCCUUGUUGAGCUCCAUUUCUUGGUCAAAGUUUUCUUCCUGUUGUUUUCCUCCAAUUUCAGCAAGAUUGGCUUGUGAUUUAUAGCCAGAAUUAACCCCUUAACCCCCAUUCCCCUUGAAGAAAUUUAGGGGCUUGCCAUGGAGCUUCCAGCAUGUCUCCCUUGUGUGCCUAUUUUUCUUGCAAUAGCUGCACCAUAAGGAGUCUUUCUCACUUGUUUUCUUCCCUUCAUUUCUACCAGAGUUUGCAGCAUUAGCCGCAACACUUCAUUUCCACUUGGUUUUGAGAUGGCUAAAACAGAUCUGUCCAUGGUGUUUCCCUUUUCUAACAUUAUAUUUCUCCUUCGUUCUUCUCCUCUAACUAUUGCAAAGGCUUUGUUUAGAGAUGGCAGUGGCUCUUUCCCAAAAAUUUGGACUCGUACUUGAUCCAAUUCCACAUUCAAACCCGCCAAGAAAUCAUACACCCUCUCUCGUUCAAUGAACUCUUGAUGCAUUGUUGCAUCUAUGUUGCACUUCAUUCUUAAAUUCUGAUAUUGAUCAAGUUCAAGCCAAAGACUUUUAAUAACAUUGUAGUACUUAGUUACGGAAAGAAUACCUUGUUUGGUGUUGUGAAUCCUUGUCUUUAGUUCAUACAUUUGGGCUGCAUCCCUUACCUUAGAAUAGGUAUGACACACGGACUCCCAAAUUUCCUUGGCUGUUGAGAGAAACAUGCAUGUACGACUUAUAUCCGAUUGCAUAGAGUUCCAAAGCCAUGACAUGAUUUGAGAGUCUUCUUCAUCCCACAUGACAAACCUUGGAUCAUCCUUACUCACAACAGGUCCAAUGGGAUGGUUUAACUUCCCUUUGCCCUUAAUAUAAGUCUUUACCAAUUGUGACCACUCUAAAUAAUUUCCCCCAUUGAGUUUGAAGGAUCCUACUAUAUUCUGGAAUUCAGCAAGUGGUGUUGAUUGUUGGAUUGUGGUUUCGCUUGAUAUUGAAGAAUCAACUUCUGAAGUGUUUGACAUCAUGAGGGGAAGAAGGGAUAUGAAGGUAAAAAAAAUAGGGGCAAUAAAGGCCUAAUAUGAAGCAACGUUUCUAACAGAAGGUCAGAAACUAAUGGGAUAUGAUCUGAAAAAAUCAAAGUUUUUAAAGGCGUUUGUGAGGCGCGCCCUGAGGCGAGGCGCGGCGAAAACGCCCUGAGGCGUUAAAAAUAAAACGAAAUGCUUGAAAGGCGUACGCUUUUCCGGUGAGGCGUGAUUGAGGCGCGCUUUGAUCGCGCCUUUCACGCUUCAAGAAGAAGGCGUACGCUUUGUCGGAUCUGAUGUGGCAAUGAACAGAGAUUUAAAAAAAGCCCUAAGUAAUCCCUAAAACCCGACUCUCGACUGAAAACAAGCCCAAAAUGAAACCCUACCUCCAACGACUCAAGCGGCGACGGAGUGCUCACCCCUCGGCGGCGACCAAUCGCAGUGCGUCUUCUCCGGUGGCGAUCACUCUCGUACAUCUCCAGGUAUGUUGCGAACUCCCUUUGGUUUCUCCCUCUUCGUUUCCCUCUCCGCAAUCCACACGGGCUUCGUCGGGUUUUCAUCCAAUUUUUUUUUUAUUUCUUUAUUUUAUCAAAUCAGUUAUAUAUAUAUAUCUAUCUCCUAUUUAAAUUUUAAACCCCCCCCCCUUUUCUCUCUCUUCGGGCAGUCCACACUUCCGGUAGUCCACAUUUUUCUCUCUCACAAUAGGCUUUUCAUCUUUUUUUUUUUUUUUUUUUUUUUUUUUUUAAUAAAGAUAAUUAUUUGUUAAUUUUGAAUUUUUUAUUUGUGGUUUAAUUUUAAUUUUCACCUCGAUUUUCUGUGUAUAAUUUUUAAAUUCCUUUAAAAAAAAUUGGUUUUUUUUUAAUUUAAACCAAUUAAAUUUUGUAUUUCAUUUUUAAAUUCCUUUAAAAAAAAUUGGUUUUUUUUAAUUUAAACCAAUUAAAUUUUGUAUUUCAUUUUUAAAUUCAUUUCAAUUAUGCUUUGUUAUUAUUUUUUAGUCAAUUAUAUUGUUAUAUGGAAAUUUGAAUAUUAUUAUUGUUGAUUUUUUUUUAGAAUGAGUUCCUCCGAUUCGAAAAAUUCAAGAAAAGAUUUUGUGUGGAAGUAUAUGAUUGAAGUUUUUGGAGAGCAAUAUUUAAGAUGUAAAUUUUGCAAUCAAAGAUGUACGGGAGGGGUGAAUAGAUUAAAACAUCACUUAGCCGGAACUCAUCAUGGUAUGAAACCAUGCAGCAAAGUUAGUGAAGAUGCUAGAUUGGAAUGCAAAGAGGCAUUGGCCAAUUUUAAGGAUCAAAAAACAAAGAGAAAUGAAUUGCUCCAAGAAAUUGGUAUGGGUCCAACUUCAAUGCAUGAGAGUGCCUUGUCUAAAACAAUAGGGACAUUAGGGAGUGGGAGUGGGAGUGGGGAACCUAUUCCUAGGGGACCCAUGGAUAAAUUUACUACUUCACAACCUAGACAAAGUACUUUGAAUUCAAAGUGGAAGCAAGAAGAAAGGAAGGAAGUGUGUAGAAAAAUUGGUAGAUUUAUAUAUUCAAAAGGUCUCCCAUUCAACACUGUGAAUGAUCCUUAUUGGUUUCCUAUGAUAGAUGCUGUUGCAAACUUUGGGCCCAGGUUUAAGCCUCCAUCUAUGCACGAAUUGAGGACAUGGAUUCUUAAAGAAGAGGUGAAUGACCUAAGUAUCAUUAUGGAAGAUCACAAAAAAGCUUGGAAACAAUAUGGAUGUUCAAUUAUGUCAGAUGGUUGGAUAGAUGGAAAAAGUAGGUGUCUUAUCAAUUUUUUGGUGAAUAGUCUUGCUGGCACUUGGUUUAUGAAAUCAAUUGAUGCUUCUGAUACAAUAAAAAAUGGGGAAAAUAUGUUCAAAUAUCUUGAUGAGGUGGUUGAAGAAAUUGGAGAAGAGAAUGUUGUGCAAGUCAUCACUGAUAAUGCCUCUAAUUAUGUGAAUGCUGGAAGGAGGCUUAUGGAAAAAAGGAGUAGAUUAUGGUGGACUCCUUAUGCUGCUCAUUGCAUUGAUUUGAUGUUGGAGGAUAUUGGAAAGCUAAAUGUUCAUGCUACUAUACUUUCUCGAGCUAGGCAAGUUGUGAAGUUUAUAUAUGGGCAUACUUGGGUUCUUAGCUUGAUGAGAACAUUUACAAAAAAUCAUGAACUUAUUCGUCCAACAAUUACAUGGUUUGCUACUGCAUUUCUUACUCUCCAAAGUCUUUAUAAGCAAAAGCAAGCUCUUAUAGCAAUGUUCUCCUCAGAAAAAUGGUGUUCAAGCACAUGGGCUAAAAAGGUAGAAGGUGUGAAAACUCGAAGUACAGUGUUGUUUGAUCCAAAUUUUUGGCCUCAUGUUGCUUUUUGCAUAAAGACCACUGUUCCAUUAGUUAGUGUCUUGAGAGAGGUUGAUUCAGAGGAAAGACCAGCCAUGAGUUAUAUUUAUGAGUUGAUGGAUUCAACUAAGGAGAAGAUUGCAUUUAAUUGUUUGGGCAUGGAGAGAAAAUAUGGCCCAAUUUGGAGAAAAAUUGAUGCAAGAUGGACUCCGCAACUUCAUCGACCUUUACAUGCAGCAGGCUAUUAUCUUAAUCCUCAAUUGCGGUAUGGAGAUAAGUUCUCUAAUGUUGAUGAGGUGAGGAAGGGAUUAUUUGAAUGCAUGGAUAGGAUGUUGGAUUAUCAAGAACGUUUAAAAGCUAACAUUCAAUUGGACUCAUAUGACCAAGCAAUGGGUGAAUUUGGGAGUCGUAUUGCAAUUGAUUCUCGAACAUUAAGAAGUCCUACAAGUUGGUGGAUGCGUUUUGGGGGUUCAACACCGGAGUUGCAAAAUUUUGCUAUUCGAGUCCUUAGCCUUACUUGUAGUGCUUCAGGAUGUGAAAGAAAUUGGAGCACAUUUGAAUCGGUAAUACUUCUAUUUUUGUAAAUUUUUAUACAUAUAUUUCUAUUUCAAUGUUAGAGAACUUUAUUUCAUUUUAACACAUAAAAUUGUUUCUUUUAUUAUUUGUAGAUCCAUACAAAAAAAAGAAAUAGACUUGAACAUCAAAGGUUGAAUGCUCUAGUGUAUGUAAGGUACAACACUAGAUUGAGAGAGCGAAGUCUACAAAGGAAACAAAAUGUUGAUCCAAUCUUGGUAGAGGAGAUUGAUUCCGAUGAUGAAUGGAUUGCGGAGAAAGAAGAUCCCCUCCUCCCCCUUGAUCUUUGUUGGCUUCAAGAUAAUGAAUUAUUCAAUGUUGAUGCCAUUAGAGUUGUGUCAUCCAACUCCCAAGAGAUGCAAGCAUCAUCGGAUCAUAUGGUUUCUUCACAUUCCUACAAAAGGAAACAUAAUGAAGUACCAAGUAAGUACUCAAAAAUUGAAAUCAUAAAUUUGAUUAAAUUUAAUAAAAAAAACUUUUAAUAUUUACACAUAAUUAAUACUUUGUGCUAGGUACAAGUGGAGGCAAAGGCAAAGAGAAGGAAUUGAAUUUGACACCAAUUGAUGAAGAUGAAGAUUUAGAUGAAAUGGGGAUACAUGAUAGUGGACAUUUUCCUACUAUUGAUACAUUGGAUGAGGAUGAUGAUGACCUUGGAGAGGAGGAUUUAAGUUGAAAAAAUUUACUCUAGUUGUUAUUUCAUGACUUAGUUAUGGAUUUUUUGUAAAAGUUUAGAACUAUUAUUAUGGUUGACUCUAUUUUCUAUUUCAUGACUUAGUUAUGGCUUUUUGUUAAAGUUUGAAACUAUUAGUAUAGUUGAAUCUAUAAUCUAUUUUAUGAAUUUGUUAUGGUUUUUUGUGAAAGUAGGGAACUAGUAUGUUUUUUUUUAUGAUUCUAAUGAAUUGUUUUCAUGUUUUUAUUUAUGCUAUUUUAUUUUAUAUAUUUUAAAAUAUUAAUUAAUUAUAUAAUGUGAGGCUCAAAAAGCUUACGCCUCAACGCCUCGAGGCUUAUGCCUCGCCUCACAAACACAAAAACGCCUCGCCUUACGCUUUCGCCUUUAAAAACUUUGGAAAAAAUUCCUCCUGGCAAUCAAGGUAUGGGACAUUGGAAUGCUAGUGAUUAGGCAAAGAAAAUUCUAGCUCUGAUACCAUGUUUUCAUUCAGAUCUAGAACCCUUUUUUGAAAUGCUUUCUGCUUCCUUUUUUGUAUAGGAUUACAUAUGAAUAUAUACAGAAUAAUUGUAUAAAAAUAGCCUUGGAAAUAAUGCCUACGAUCAUGCUAUCAAAGAUAAAUAAGAUAAGUGAAGAAUGCUAAGAAAGGAAAAAAUCCUAGAAGAUUCUAUGUACAACUAUACAAUUAUUACAACUCAUAUGGGCUGGAAAAAUAGUCAACACAAUCUACCAGAAUUUCCAACUGGCAGAUUUUCCAACAGAUUGUUCUUGAUUUUCCCUUAGCAUGAGAGACUUUAAUGAUUUCAUUAGAGCAAGUAAGUUAGUUGGCCUUCCUCUUAGGAGUGCUUUCUUCACCUGGUCCAAAAUUUGCAAGAAUCCCUUGUUUGUAAGGGAUCAAAUAGAUUUUUAUUUUCAAAUGAGUGGGAGCAAAAUUUCCCUCAAUGCCUCUAUUCCCUUAAAUACCAAUCAUUUUAAGUGAGGUCCAACUCUUUUUAAGUUUGAAAACAUAUGCUACACCUAGAGUUGAAGGAAAGAUUCAAUCUGUGAUGUAAAGAGUUUUAGGAUGAAGGAUGGGAAGGUCAUAAAUUCAUGAAAAGAUUGCAAUAUGUCAAAUCAAAAUUAAAAGAAUGGAAUAAGGUUUCUUUCGAGGACUUGAAAGAGAAGAAAAAAAUAUUCUAAAAAAUAUAGCCUCUGUGAGCAUUGAGAGCCCUUUCAAUGGGAAAGGAAAUCAAAUAGAUGAUAGAAGAAACCCUAGAGGCAAUAAAUCUUCUCCUAAAAUGUCCUCAUGCACAUUAAUCAACGCAAACACUUAAGUGGCAAAAUGAAACAAAGUGCAAGAAAACCAAUGCCAUAUCAAUAGCCAGAAAUGUGAGAUGUAACCAUCUUUUAUCGUCCAUCAAUGCUUAUCAAGAAGAAGGUAUUUAACUACUAUGACUCACUUAUUAUAAAUGGGAAAUAUUCUUUUGUGAAAAACUUGCACAUUGAAGGAUCUAUCUUAGGGAACCACUUCAGGAUUGACUUUGUUUUUUCAGGUACACUUCUUUUAGUGAUCAAUUGGAGGCAACACAUUACCAGCUCCAACAAUAUUGAGAUGGAUGUUUCCUAUAUAAUUAGAGAUGUAUGGAUGAAGUACAUUGUGCAUAACAAGUUUUGUGCAAUUAUAAUUAAUUAUCAAUGAAAGGCAAAAAUUUUUGGUGAUAUUAGGCUGGGCAAGCUUUGUGUAGAAUAGUGGUCAAGAACAAUUAUUCCAUAAAAUUAGGUAAUUGAAAUGGAUCAUGAAUGAUUGUAAUGCAUGAAAGGAUUUUGGAUGCAUUUAUGAAAAGCUUGAGGUAGCACCAUUAAGGAUAAGAUGGGACUGGUAGGUUCAGAUUAUUUGUUCACUUAUAAUUAAGAUUAUUAACCAUGCUGAAAAGAUGUUGACUUUGUUCAAGUUGAAGGCAUUGCAAGAGCAAGACGAAGGCUACAAGUAGGGAAGGUUGAAGUUUGAAGAAGCAACAUUAUGACUUAAGAUAGAGUUUGCUAUGAUUCUUAUUGUGUAGAGUGGUGAAAAUGAUUUGUUUAGGUGAACCCAAGUGGUUUAUGUAAGGCUUUAAGUUCUGGUUUGAGGUUAUGUUGUUUUUAUGCAUUAUCCUUUGAACAUUCCUACUUUAUUUUAACAUAGAUUGUUGGGGGAUUCAUGAAAUAGCUAUAUUUUUGCCUACUCAGACUAGCAGGUACGUUAUAGGAUGAACUGUUUCAUGACUCAUUGCAUUCCUUCCUUCUUGUUUAUUCUGAUAAUAUAUGGAAGCAUUGUGACCUGUGUACUUUUCCAAUUUUCUUGUAUCCUUUCAGGCUUUCUCAUGUACAUCAGCAUUCUCUCCUUUCUAGCAUUGUUGCUAUGCUUACAAAUACUUUCUUUACUUGCUGCAUUCCUUCCAUUUUGUUUGUUGUGAUAAUAUAUAAUCGUUGUGCUAUUGGCAGUUUCAGUUUCUGUUCAUCCUUUCUGCCUUUCUCAUAUUCAUCCACACUGGUUUAUUUUAAAGAUUUCAACUAUGCCUAGGAAUAAUUUUGGAUACAGUUCUUCAGUUGAUUGCUUUAUGAUCUCAUGCUCUUGGUUAAGGAUAAAUUUUAGUCUCUGUUUUAAGAGAUUUUAGUCCUUUUGCAGCUUUGAUAGUUUAUGUACUGAUUGUAUUCUGACGUUAUUGUUUCUCUGCUCAACAAUUCCUUGGACAGCGUGCUUUAAAGGUAUAUCUGCAAUGCUACCUGUGCCGUUUUAUUUUUAUUUUUAUUUCAAAUAUAUAUGUUUUAUGGAAAAAAGAUGAAAAUUCAUUCCCAGUGAAGCAAAGUAUUACUUAUUGUUAUUAUUAUUUUAUUUCUGUUUCUGACUGAGAUGAUAGUUUCUUUUCCUUAGUUUCAGCACAAAUAAACUUUAAACCUUAAAUUCUGAUCCUUAUACUGCCUAUGUAUAUGGUUUUUUUGUUCUAUUUGAUUCAAAUACGAAUUUCUAAUCUCUGUAUCACCUUGUGAUCAUGCAGAUAAAGAGGCGUGUUCUGGGAGAUGGCCAUACAGACUAUGCAGAUACAAUGUAUCAUCUUGGAAUGGUAUCAUCUCUGCUAAAUCUUUUAUUUGUAAUACAUCCUUCUGUUAUAUUUACUGUGGUAUUGAAUCUUCCACAUUGAAGGUGGCCUUUGACUAUGCUCAAUAAGACAGCCUCAAGGCACAGCCUAGAGGCAAGGAUAAGUAAAGUCUGAUACCUCACUAAUAGCUAACACCCACAUAAAGGCUCACAUCGUACUGUUUUAAGCCACUAGCUAGAAAUGUACCCUGCACUUGUGAAAAAAUAUUCACCCAAUGACUACAAAUAAUUUAUUAGGAGCUUACAUAUAUAGAUAGAUAUGGUGUCUUCCUUUAUCUAUUAUACUUUUUUUUUUCUUUUUUCUUUUUUCCUUUUUUUUGGCCUUUUUUCUUUUGGUUACAUUUGGACUUUUAGAAUGCUUUUCUGGUGCAAAUGGGGCUGUUAGAGUGCACAAAUUCAUGCUUUCUUUAAUCAAUGCUUUCUCCAUUAACUCAAUAACUUAGCAGUUCAACACUUAUGCUCCUUAGGGCUCAAUCUAUAAGCCACCUUAUUAGGUAAAGUAAAUGCCAAAGUAAAGCCAAUGCAGUGUUGAAUAUACCUUGUUGGAGGAAACCUCAGGGAGAUCAGUAGGGAAGACCUCUACUUUGUCUCUCAUCAAUGUCUCUAUGCCCUUUGGAAGAAGGGGUUGUGAUCUUUCUUUAGCCACUAUGGUAUAAAAUUUUCAAACCUUAGGGUCCCAAAACAAACUUGGCCUUGGAAAGAAAAUUGAUAUCCACACCUUAGAUUACGAUUGAACUAGACUUCUGUCACAUAGGUCUCAAAAUUAUUUUCAUAUUAUUUGUGUAAAAAGAGGUCCUUCCAUGGUCGAUUUCUCUAUCAUAUUGCCAUGAUUGCCCAAAUGAUGUAUGGCAUGUGUCCAUCGCCAUAAUGUUGUACUUAUUUUUUCAUGGUAUAUUAUGGCAAUCGAAAUUGAAACAAGAUAACAUUGAGUGAAUGUUACCUCUUUACCCUUCUAGAACCAUGAUAACGAGUAUAACCUUGUAUGCUCAGUUUUUACUUGAGCUUGUCUGCGACUUCUUGAGACAGCAUGUUUUCACUAAUCCUGCUAUGAUGAUUAUUUUAUGGUUUACACACCUUUCCACCAAUUGUACAUGUACUAUGGAAAAUCAUAGUUCUUAGCUAAUCUUUUCAUUUUGAUGGUCUAGCUCAGGGGGAUUUUAUGAAACUAUUUUCCUACUUUCUUUCGUUUUUUCAACCUCUCAUUAGUUUAUAUCAAAUUCAUACUCUAUUAUAUCUUUUUCUUAAUAGAUUUAUUUAUUUUUAAUAAUUUUCUAAAUAUUUUGUUGGCUAGUUUUUUAAUGGUGGGUUCCCCUUGGUUUUGAUUCCACUUUCAGUUGUAUGUUGCAAUUAACAUUGUAAUUGGUAUUUCAUAUAAUAAUAACAUGGAUAUUUUUAAGAAGAUUGUCAAUUUUUCUUAGUUCUAUCUUUAUUUAAUUGUUAACAAUAAGGGAGUUAGGGUUCUAUUCUAUUCUAUUUUUUAAAUAAAAAAAUAGUGUCUUCAUAAAAAACUUGGAUCAUAAGGCACUAAUGUGUUGUGAACUACUUAAGGAUUAGGAAGGUUUUUAUACUGAAGGCAAACUCCAAAUUUGUAAACAAAAAGCUUCUCAACCUUAAUUAUUGAUAUUUUCUUUUUUAAACAUUGCUUUUUUUUUUUGGUAAAUUUUUUUAAAUGAAAUAAAAUUUCACAAAAUUCAAAGCUUGUGUUUACUAACUAAACUAUUUGGUAUUUUGAUUUUUUAUAAUUUGUAACUACAAUUCAUUGGGAUUACUUAAUUCGAAAUAUGAUUUGAACUGUUUGUUUCUCCCUUCACAUAACUGUGUUUAGAAGUGCUUCAUUAUUUGAUUCAACAAACGUUAUUGUUUAUUGUAUUUUUUUUUUAUUAUCUGUUCAAAAGUUUUCUUUGGUUUAAUCAUUUUUGCAGUUCGCCCCACCCUAUUUCACAAUGACUAGAGCCUUAGUCUUGUCAUCAUAUUGGAUUUCAUCAUUGUGGUCCUUCCCAAAACAUCACCAUAGAGUGGUUCUCUUUCAAAAUUUGUCUUCCCUUACCCUAAUGUCUAACAGAUGCUUUCUAAGAGUCUCAUAGACCUAUCUCCUUCCUCACCACAUUUAAAAUAGCCAAAGCCAACAUUCUUGGGAUUCUGAGUUGUUGUUCUUGCAGAAUUUCUGAACUCCUUUAUAUUAUAUUCGGUACACACCAUACACAUAUAUAUACACAAAUGACUGAAUAAGAAAAAAUCAAUCUAGCUUAAUUUUCUCCUAAAAUUAGGAAACUGAAUCAUAAGGAAAUAUCCUAAAUGAUCUCUCCUUUUUUAUUCCUAAAAUACUUUCCUAAAUUAAAAUCCUAACUUUGGCAUUAUUUCAACACUCCCCCUCAAGCUGGAGAAUAUAUAUCAUAUAAUCCCAGCUUGCAAGUUAAGUCUUCGAAGUUAGGCCUAGGUAAAGCUUUGGUGAGGAUGUCUGCGGUUUGGUGCUUGGUAGGAACAUAGUUCAAUUUAACCGUCUCACUAGUCACCUUCUCUGUGAUGAAGUGUCUGUCAAUCUCAACAUGCUUGGUCCUGUCAUGAUGCACGGGGUUCUUUGUUAUGCUUAUAGCUGCCUGAUUAUCACACAUCAUCAGAAUUGGAGAUGAACUCAUUUGUCCCAGUUCACUAAGAACCCUUUUUAUCCAAAUCCCUUCACAGAUUCCCUGUGCAAGAGCUCUGUACUCAGCUUCUGCACUACUUCUGGCUACAACUGAUUGCUUCUUACUCCUCUAGGUAACAAGAUUUCCCCAGACAAAAGAACAAUAUCCAGAAGUGCACCGCCUGUCAAUGAUGUUUCCUGCCCAAUCCGCAUCUAAGUAUACUUCAGUGUCACGGUUCUCUGUCUUUCUGAAGAAUAGACCUUUCCCUGGUGUCAUUUUUAAAUAUCUAAGAAUUCUGUAGACUGCUUCCAUGUGUUCCUCAGUGGGGCUGUGCAUGAAUUGACUUACAGCACUCACUGCAAAGCCAAUAUCUGGCCGAGUAUGUGAGAGAUAAAUCAAGCGCCCGACAAGCCGCUGAUAUCUCCCCUUGUCUACCGGUGUUCUUUCUUUCUCGAUACCAAGUUUCUUCUGACUAUCCAUAGGAGUAUCAAUUGGUUUGCAUCCAAGCAUACCGGUCUCCUUAAGAAGAUCGAGUAUGUAUUUUCUUUGAGAGACUACAAUUCCCUUCCUUGAUCUAGCCACUUCCAUACCAAGGAAAUAUUUCAAGUUUCCAAGGUCUUUAACUUCAAACUCUUCUGACAAAUGCUUCUUCAAAUUCUGUAAUUCCUCCAUAUCAUUCCCAGAUAGAAUAAUAUCAUCGACAUAGACUAUCAAUAUGACCAUUUUCCCGGCAUGAGACUUCUUGACAAAUAGAGUAUGAUCAGCCUGACCUUGUUUGUAGCCCAGCUUCAGGACUGCUUUUGUGAAUCUAUCAAACCAGGCUCGGGGAGAUUGUUUAAGGCCGUACAAGGAUUUUUGGAGUUUGCAAACCUGAUUCUUUGCCAUACUUUCUUCGAAACCAGGUGGUAUUUCCAUGUAGACUUCCUCUUCUAGGUCACCAUUUAGAAACGCAUUUUUUAUGUCCAGUUGUUGCAAGCAUUAAUCUUGAUUGACAGCCAAUGAGAGAUGAAUCCUGAUAGUGUUUAGUUUUGCAACAGGAGCAAAAGUCUCCUGAUAGUCUAUCCCAUAGGAUUGUGUAAACCCUCUAGCUACCAAACGAGCCUUGAAUCUCUCGACUGAUCCAUCUGCUUUGUAUUUUAUGGUGAAAAUCCACUUGCACCCCACAGGUCUCUUCCCAACCGGCAAAUCUGUGAUAGUCCACGUCCCAUUCUUCUCAAGUGCAUCAAUCUCAUCUUGUACUGCCUUCUUCUAUUCUGAAAUUUUUAAUGCCUCUUGUAUUGUGUUGGGAACCUGAGUAUUAUCAAGAGAAGUAGCAAAUGCUCUGUAAGAUGGUGAUAGCCCUUCAUACGUAACAUAAUUCCCAAUUGGAUGAUCUGUACAUCUCCUAACACCCUUCCUCAAUGCAAUCGGCAGAGUAGAAUCAUCAAUGCUGGGAAUUAACACCUCUCCAGCCCUAUCCUCACCUAUGUUCUCUUCAGGAAGACUUGAAUUGGAGUCAAUAUAUUGGCCACAUGUUGACUGUGAUCCGUGCUCUAAUUCCUGUCUUUUCCUCCUCCUGAUGUAAACUUGUAAGUUCUCAUUAGCAAGUUGUGGGGCUAUAGGUUGAAUAGGCAUGGGAGACUGGAUGGUCACGGGAGAAGGAACAUUUGUGUGCUGGGCUGGCUGGACUGAUGACGACAUGGGUGUGGACAACUCAGUGGGCGCGAAUUGGGAAGGAUUUGGUGACUCUGAGUGAAAAGAAGGUACACCCUCAAGACGAGACUCCCAAACUUGAUGUUCAUUCAUGCUCUCCCCCUGAACAUGAAAUUUGGGAUAGAAGAAGACAUGUUCAAAGAAAGAGACGUCCAUGGUGGUGUAAAAUCUUUUGUUGGUUGGAGAAUAGCAUUUGUACCCUUUUUGGGUUGGAGAAUACCCUAGGAAAAUGCACUUAUUUGCUCGAGGAGCAAAUUUGCUACGAUUUUGAGGAUACACAUGAACGAAUGCCGUGCAACCAAAUACUUUGAGUGGUAAAUCAGAAGAGGCGGCACAGGUGUGAGGAAAUUGUUUUAAGAAAAGUUGACGUGGGGAUUGAAAGGUAAGCACUCUGGAUGGCAUACGGUUAAUCAAAUAGGUAGCUGUGAGAAUAGCUUCCCCCCAAAAAUAGUUUAGAACAUUAGAGGAAAACAUAAGGCACCGGGCAACCUCCAAGAGAUGUCUAUUCUUGCGUUCAGCCACCCCAUUUUGUUGUGGGGUGUCAACGCAAGAACUUAUGUGGAUAAUGUCGUGAUUUUGAAGAUAAGUACUGAGACUACUAGUAAAGUAUUCCUUUGCAUUAUCUGACUUGAGGACUUGAAUUUUGGAAUUGAAUUGGUUUUGAACCAUAAGAUUGAAGGUUUGAAAAAUGUGCCCGACCUCUGACUUUUCUUUCAUAAGGAAAACCCAUGUUACCCGAGUAUGAUCAUCAACGAAUGUCACAAACCAUCGAGUGCCAGAAAUAUUUUUUAUCCGGGAGGGACCCCACACAUCACUAUGAACUAGAGAGAAAACAGUCGAAGGUUUGUAUAGGAUUUGAGGAUAUACUGUUCGAGUAUGCUUUGCAAACUGACAAAUUUCACAGUAAUAAGAUGCUGGAUUUUUAUUGAUAAAUAAUUUGGGAAACAAUUUUGCAAGGUAAACAAAGCUAGGAUGACCAAGGCGAUAGUGUAACAUUAUAAUCUCACUAUCUUUAUUGACCUUAGAAUUUGACACAGAAUUGAAAGACUCUAACAUACUCUGAGACUGUACGCAACUUGCUUGAGAGACUUGGUUUGAGAAUUGGCCACAUGAGAGGAGGUAGAGCCCGGAACACAGUUCAGCACUGCCAAUCAUCUUCCCCGAUUUCAAGUCCUGAAAAACACACGAGUUUGGAUAGAAUUUAGUAACACAUUGGAGAUCACGAGCCAAUUUGCUAAUGGACAAAAGAUUACAAUCCAAGUUUGGAACAUGGAGGACAGAGUCAAGAUAUAAGUCUUUAGUAAGUUUUAUAGAACCUGUCCCGACAAUUUUUGACUUUGAACCAUCAGCAAUAUGGACGGAUGAAUGACCAUUACUUGGCUUGUAAUUUUGAAGAAUGGCAGCAUCUCCUGUCAUGUGAUCAGAAGCACCUGUGUCCACUAUCCACGGCUUCAUUCCUCCUCGACUAGCAGUGAGGGCUAUCCCGGUAGUACUGCCACUGCCAACUUGGCUUAAUAGUUUCUGUAGCAUCUCCAUCUGCUCUUUGUUGAAUGGACUCGGCUCGGGAACAGAUGUGCUCUCAGAGUUGGCAGCCACGUGUGCUCUGCCAUCUCUGUCAGACCGUGGCUUUGGUUUCCAAUCAGCCGGUUUGCCAUGAAGCUUCCAGCAAGCCUCCUUAUAAUGGCCUGGUUUCUUACAAUAAUCACACCAAGGCCUAUCUCGUUUCUGACGAUCUCCACCACUACUAUUAAAUGACCGAGCAGCAAGGACAGAGCCAUCCAAUGUUGGGGCAGGUUGCUCUUUGGAUCCCAUCAUCACUUUCUUUCUACUUUCUUCAUGCCUAACCUCUGAAAAAGCCUCCCUGAGACUUGGAAGGGGUUUAAUGCCCAUGAUUCGGCCUCUAACAUCAUCCAAUUCCCUGUUUAGUCCUAGGAAGAACUUGAACAGUCUCUUUUGUUCCACAAUUUGCCUGUAUGUUGCUGCAUCAUCCGAACAUUUCCAUGAGUGGGUCUCGAAUAAGUCAAGUUGCUGCCAAUACCUUGUGAGUGUGUUAUAAUACUGAGUAACUGACUGCUCUCCUUGGCGGAAGUCAUGUAGGGCUGAUUCAACCUGAAAAAGUUCUGAAAUAUUUUCAGAACUUGAGUAAGUUUCUUUGGCUGCAUCCCAUAUGUCCUUUGCAGUCCCAAACAGCAAGAAAUUUUCUCCUAUGUCAUUGUUCAUGGAAUUGAUAAGCCAUGACAUGAUCAUGUUGUUUUCAAUCUUCCACUUCCUGAAACCUGGUUCUGUAGUUUCUGGCAUGGCUGCUUCUCCAGUGAGGUACUCAUCCUUUCCUUUACUGCAAAUGAACAGCAACACAGAUUGUGACCACUGUAAAUAGUUAUGGCCAUUUAAUUUGUGUCCUGUGAUGAGAAUAGGAAAGGAAUCAUUGCCACCAAGGUUUGGAAUUUCAGAUCUGCCCCCUGAUUCUGGUGACGUGACGCUGGAUACUUGUGAUGAUGUCAUUCCGUAUUUUGUCAUGGACCGGAAAGGUAGAAGAACACUUCCCAAGGCACGUGCAGGGAUUGGAGUUGAGAAAAAAUAGCCGGAGGACGCCGGAAAAAACUGAUCGAAGGGUCCACGGAAGCAAAAGAACCCCAAAAGAGGCACGUGCAGGGCUCGGAUGGCAAAAACAGGUAAGAAGGGUGGCUGGUCGGCGUCAGGCGAGCUUGGAGGAGGAAGCGCGUCGCCGGAAAGUGGCUCACGCGCCCUCACGCGCCGGCGCAUGAGAUGCAGUCGCCGGCCGGAAAAACGCGCGUGGAUGGGUUUCUGGUUCCGGUGCUUUUGGGACAAAUUGGAGAUCUCCUCCAGGCGCUCCUUGCGGUGUAGAAAAAACCGUCGCCGGAAAGUUCGCCGGAAAAGUUGCCGGGUGUGAAUGUUUUUUGACGACGAUUCGACCGACCGAAAAACGUUUUCUCCCUUGACUCUGAGAAUAGGGACUGAUGACCGGAAUGAGAGAUGGCCAGAGAGAGAGAUGGUCGGAUUGAGAGAUGGCCAGAGAGAUUUGGCCGGAAUGAGUGAUGGCCUGAAUAAGAGGUGGCCAGAAGGGAUUAGGGUUUCAGAAAACUGGCUCUGAUACCAUGAUGAAUUUCUGAACUCCUUUAUAUUAUAUUCGGUACACACCAUACACAUAUAUAUACACAAAUGACUGAAUAAGAAAAAAUCAAUCUAGCUUAAUUUUCUCCUAAAAUUAGGAAACUGAAUCAUAAGGAAAUAUCCUAAAUGAUCUCUCCUUUUUUAUUCCUAAAAUACUUUCCUAAAUUAAAAUCCUAACUUUGGCAUUAUUUCAACAGUUCUAAACAUAUUAGAAAUUUAGAACUUCUUCCCAACUCCAACAAUGGAUCCUCUCCAAGUUCAACAUUAGAUCAUUUACCGAAUAUCUUGUGUAUUACAUUGAACACUAAAUGCCCCAUGAUGACACCAUAUUAAAGUUAUCUCACCUGGAAACAUUUCUAGCCCUCACAAUGGUUGUGUUUCUUCUAAAACAUUUUUUUAUUAUUUCUUAUUUUUUACUUUCAACAAUCAAAGUCCUUUGGAAAGCAUUUGAAAUGGUCCAAAAUGGGUACAAGCUUAAACUUUCGAAUGAUUUGUUUUAGAACUCCAACAAACCAUGCUACUAGAUCUUGAUUCAAAAAUUUCAUUUCUAUCCACCAAUUCAUGAACCUCUUCUAUGUAUCCAUGUAAUGAUUUGUUUCUUUGUUGUAAGUUAUGCUAUAUGUACAUCGUAUGAACAUAAUCAAAUGGGAGGAAGUUCUCUAUCAGCCUCUUGUUCACCUUCCCAAAUUAGUAACCCUUAGCUUUCUCCAUGGUUCUCACACUAAGUUCUUCCAUAAAAUGGCUAAUGCUCAUAGAAGAAAGAAAUUUUUUUAGCUAGGAUUAAAAUUAAUGGGGCUUUCCUUCGGGAGAGCAAGUUAAAGAAGUGUGUGGAAUUGGCUUUUCACAAUUCUUUAUUUGAUACAAAAGAGUGGAGAUCUAGCAUCAACAACUUGGAUUUUGAAAUUUUAGAGGGGUAGUAAUCAUAAUAAUUGGAGGAGCCGUUUUUAGAUGAUGAGGUGUUUUGUUGGUUUGAUGGGGUUGAAUGAGGACAUGGCUCCAACACUGGAUAGGUUUUUAAUGAAAUUUUAGCAAUUAGGUUGGGAUUUUGUGGAUAAUGAAGUGAUGGGGUUUUCCAAGGAGUUUUAUGAUUGAGGGAAGUUUGAAAAAAAGUCUCGGUGCUAUGUUUUUAGUGUUAAUCCUAAAGAAAGGAGGUGCAUAGGAUCUGAAAGACUUUACGCCUAUUAGUUUGGUAGGUAGUUUGUAUAAGCUCCUAGCUAAGUUUUGGCAAAGAGACUAAAUAAGGUGGUGGACAAAGUGAUCUCCAAAAUUCAGAAUGCUUUUAUAGAGGGUAGAUGUAUCCUUCAUGCAGUUCUAAUAGCUAAUGAAGCCAUAGAAAGAGCAAUGCUUAUGGAGUCAUGUGUAAGCUAAACAUUGAAAAGGCAUAUGAUCAUGUCAAUUGGAGUUUAUUGCUUUGAGUUCUCAAAAAGAUGAAUUUUGGUAAAAAAUGAUGGAUUAAAUGGUGCAUCUAUAAAGUUUUUAGUGAUUGUUAAUGUCAACCAUUAUGGUUUCUUCCAAAGCUCCAUAAGUAUGAGGCAAGGAGACCCUCUGACUCCUUAUUUAUUUGUAGUUGCAAUGGAGGCACAGAGUUGCCUCCUUAGAAGGGUAGGAAGGGAGGUUUGUUCUUGAGAGUUAGGGUGAGAGGAAGAUGUGGUGAGGAGGAGGAGGUAUCCCUUUUGUUGUUUGUAGAUGAUACUUUAAUCUUUUGUGAGGCUUUCCAAGAUUAAAUGGUUUGUUUAAGUUGGUUGCUCAUGUGAUUUGAAACUAUAGCAAGCUUGAAAAUCAUCUUAGAAAAAAACAAGUUUAUUCCAAUUAGUUAGGUGGAGAAUGCAAAGGACUUGGCCUUUGAACUAGGUUGUGAAGUAGGAGAGCUUCUAUCUACUUACCUGGGUUUAGCCUUAGGAGCAUCAUUUAGAUUAAUGGCAACCUAGGAGGAGGUGGAAGAGUGGUUUUAGAAAAGGCUAUCAAUGUGGAAAAAGCAAUACAUCUCUCAAGGAAGGAGGCUUAUGUUAAUCGGGAGUAUAUUAUCUAGUCUACCCAUAUACUUUUCAUAUCUUUGUUCAAUAUUUCGAGGAAAGUUAAGUUAAGGCUUGAGAAGAUUCAAAGGGAUUUCUUUUAGGGAGGCAGGGCUUUUGGAGAAAAAGUUGCGUUUUGUGAAGUGGUUGAUUGUUUGUAAGGAGAAAAGGGGUUGGGCAUUAAAUGACUUUCAUUGCUUAAUAAGGCUCUUUGGUGUACGUGGAGUUGGUGAUACACUACUGAAAGAGUAGCUUUUCGAAAAUGGAUUGUAAAUUGAAGAAGAAUCGAUUGAUCACAUCCUUCUUCAUUGUGCCAAGAAAAGGGUCCUCUAACAAUUGCUUUUUACUAUUUAUUGGGUGCAAUCUGGCAUGGUAGGGGAACUUUUUUAAGAUGGUAUGGAUCCUUUAUGAGCAAAAGACGUAAGAAGGUUUCAAGUUGCACCAUUGCUUUUGGACCAUGUGCAAAGAAAAAAUCCAAUCAAACCUUGAAAAGUUCUUUCCUUAGAAAUCUGUUUUUGUAGUUGGAGUUGUAUGUAGAUAUAGGUGUUAUGUCUUGAAUUGAUUUUGUUGAAUGAUUGAGUUUUUGCUAAAAGAGGGAGUUGUUUUUGUGUCGUCUCUAUUUUGGUCAUACCUUUUAAUGCACGUUUGUGCUUUGUUUGUUUGAUGCUUGUUUAUAAAAUCUUUUCACUUACCUAGCAAAAAAAUUUUAGUUCUUCCCAUCAAGCUGAUGUUCUCCCUUUUGGUCUAUAGCUAUCAAUUUUACUAUCAUGAUGGGUUCAGCCUUUUUUAGGGUUUCAUUUCUUUCACUCUUGGGGAUGAGUAGAGGAUUAGAUUCUAACUUGAUGUGAAGUGUGUGGAAUUGAGUUUGAAGACUUAAUUUAUGGUCCUCUAUGCCUCAGAUAUUACUAGGAAAGUGUAGGUAGCUGAUUAUUGGUACAAGCUGGCAGUCUUGAAAUUUGGAAUCUAAAUUUUAUCAGUACAUUCCAUGAUUGGAAGUUAGAAGAAGCGGGCAGUUUUCUUGCUUAGAUUUACUUGAAGCAGUUUAUCAUGGUGAACACUAACAUGUAUGUUUCAAAUCCUUGGAAGAAGGGCUUCUUGGUUUCUUCAUACUUUAUGGCUCUCUUUCUGUAUUCCAUUGAGAUUUUCUAUCUCUGCUUUGUGGUUUUGUUCUAAGUUAUCUAAGGUUGAUUUCCUUGUGCUAUGAGAUUUCUAGGGAAAGAUUCUCACAAUAGAUCAGUUGAGGUGGAAGGUUUAACUCUUGUGAAUUGGCAUUGCUUGUAGUGAGGCAUCUUUUGUUGAGGACUCUCUCUCUCUCUCUCCCUCUCUUAAUGUAAUGAUUGAUUUGGGAGGGUAUUUAUGGUUUGGAAAAUUUUAAACCAAAAGAAUGGUUCCUUUUUCUUUACUAUUCUUUUUUGGCAUGUGGAGUCCAAUCAUAUCAUGUCUUCUUGCUUCUGUUUUCAGUAAUUUUGUCCUUUUAUUCAUUUCAUUACUUGUUAAUUAUUUCAGUUCGUUUGACUUAGAAAUGCAACAUAAUUUUUGUUUCCAUUUGAUUUACUCAAGAAUGCAACAUAAUUUGACUUACAGGUGCUCUAUCUCCAGGGAAAAAUUAAGGACUCUGAGGCCCUUAUUCAAGAUUCUGUUAGAAUCCUAGAGGUUCGUGACUAUGUUAUUUAAAGUUAAUGCUGAUUACUGAUUUAUAUUGUUCUACAUUUAUUAUGUUUAUUUUUUCUUACCACCAAAUAUUGGUUGACUAUGCAGGAUGGUGGUCUUGGGGAAUCAACUAUAUACAUUCGGAGACUAAGAUAUCUUGCUCAGGUAUUCCCUCAUUCACUUUGAGCUUCUUGAAGUUUCUGUCAUUUUAAACAUGCUUAGAAUAAAAUAAAAGGUGCACCUAAGCAUACUGUACACACAAAAAAAAAAAAAAAAAAAAACCAAAACAAAAGAAAGAAUACCAAUAGGUAUCUACAAAAAAUCAGCCUCAAAACCAAACUAUCCGCAGCCAAGGCUAUCUAUGAAGGCCAACAAUGAGAAAUUUCCCAUAUCUAAUGAAGCUUUGGACCAAUCAAAGAGGGAAAUAAUGAAACUCUCCUUUAACCUUUAAUCUGCUAGUUCUUCUCCAUUUAAGAUUCUGUGAUUUUGCUCUUUCCAAAUGCACCAAACAAGGAAAGCGGUGCCAUCUUCCAAGCACCACGAAUCAUCCAAUCCCUUGAACUACCGCUCAAGAAGCAAAUUCCUCACUAUAGCUGAAAACACCCAAUUUUGACAAAAAAAAAAUGAUGAAAAGAACGUCCUUAACACCUUUGUCUCUGCACAGUGAAUCAAAAUGUGAUCAACAAACUCUUAGUCUCUUUGCAAACGCUACAUCUAUUAGCCAUCGUCCACCCCUUUUUGCAUUAAGAAGUCUAGAGAUUUUCCCUCAAGCCGCUUCCUAAGUGAAAAAACAAGAUCUUUAGAAUCAUUGCACAAAGAACUAUAGAAUGACUUUACACUAAAGACUCCCUUCCUUUCGUCCUUCCUGAUUAAGAAAUCAUCCCCUUCAUCUUGCACUUUCACCAACAUAAGCUCCAAAAAUUGCGAUGCCCCAUCUAAUUCUCAACCUUGGAAGGGUCAAAAUAUGUAUACAUUUACACAGUGUUUUAAAAGGCUAUUGUUAAUCAAGGUUCAGCCUCACCUAGUUGAGGCUUAUAACCUUAAGGCUAUAGCCUCGAAGCUAAUGAGGCUUAAGCCUCAAAUAUUCAAAGGGUUCCAAUAGGUUCAGGGUUUUUUUACAUAUUUUAUAAGAUGUUCAAGCCUUAAUAUUCAACAUAUUUAAUGAAUAGUGCUUUUGCUAGCUUUUAGUAUACAUUUAUAUGGUUUUUCUUGAGUUAAAGACUAGGCUUAAUGUGUACAUAGAUUAUCAUUCAAUGAUCAUGAUAAGAUUUAUUGAUUGACUAAGCUCUAAGUAAGAAGGAGCUUGUUUUUUUGUUUUUGCUUUUGUUUUACCUGCCUACUAGUACCUAUUGUAUACAUCGUGUAGACUCUAGUGCACUCUUUUUUCUCAAGUGUUGUUAAUAUAUGUCUAAUUUUGCCUUAAAAGGAAAAAAAAGACUAGGAUUAAAUGUUUUAUUAAGUAAGGGCUUAGUUUUAAUGCUUUAAAUGGAGAGGGAAUAAAGGGAUUAGGAAGAAGAAAGGCCACUAUAACUGAUGGAUGAUGAAGAAGAAUGCUUGUACAUUAACAUUGGUGUAGAGGAUAAUAAAUCAAUUGGAUAUGAUUAUGAUUCCAUGGAUUAUCCUUACUCGUGAUAAUGAUGCUAGUGUUAAGGAAAAUUUGAUAAAGCCAUGAGAGACGGUUGGAUUAUAAAAGAAAGAAAGAGGAACUAAAUUAAAAACUAUUGAUGAUGACAAACAAUUAAUUUGAUUAUUAUGAAUUGUAUGGUUUUCUUAUUGUUCAAUUUUCAUGUGAUUUUUUUAUUUUUAUUUUUAUUUUUUGAGAUUUUUUCUCUUCUUUUUCAUUAUUUAUUUAUUUCUUUAAUUUGAGGCUUACGCCUUGUUUCUCCUUAAGGCUUACGCUUUGCUUCACUUGGGAAAAAUACCUCAAAACCACCUUUAACCUUCUAAAACACUUAUAGCCCAUGCACCAUGACUCUUAAGAUUACUGAUAAUAAUGUUUAUCCAAAGAAGCUCACAUAGCCCAUACACUAUGACUCGAAAUUCGAUUUCAAAACUCAACCUAGCAACCACAUACUGUUUGUUACACCUCUAAUCACCAAAUUACCUCCCAAGAAAGUACAAUAACUAGAUGUUGACCUCCUAUCAGUAACUAAUCUUGCCCAUUCAGCAUUUGCAUAAACCUCAAGUAUCAUCUUCCUAGUAAAUAAAUUUGGAAAUUAAUCAAUUUAGCUAUAUAGAAAAAGAAACAAACUUAAAUUGAAUCCUAGCUUCUAUAGGCUGUAUAAUCCACUAUUACUGCACUAACUAUCCAACACUCCCCAUGAAGCUGGUGAAUUAAUAUUUUUUAUUCUUAGCUUGUUUAUGAUAGAUUAGAAUGGUUGAGUUGCAAUUCCCUUGGGCAUUAUGUCAGUCAAUUGUCUUUCUAGGAUAUAUAAGAGGUGUAUAUUUAUCCACUAUCCAGUUUCUCCUCAAUGAAAUGAGGAUCAACUUCUAAGUGCGUAGUUCAGUCCUGUUGAACUGGAUUGUGGGCUAUACUGGUAGUGUGGAUUGUGGGUUAUAUUGGUAGCCGACUUGUUGCCAUAGUAGAGCUUCAUAGGAUAAUUUACUCUAAGAUUACUAAUAAUAAUUUUUAUCCAGAGAAGCUCACAUAGCCCAUGCACCAUGACUUGAAAUUCUAUUUCAACACUUGACCUACCAACCACAUACUAUUUGUUACUGUAAUUACCAAAUUCCCUCCCAAGAAAGUACAGUAGCUAGAUGUUGACCUCCUAUUAGUACUUGAUCCUGUACAUUUAGCUCAUAGUUGUGAAAGGCACGUUUUAGGUGUGCCUAGGCACAAGGCAGUGCAAUGUGAAGCUCUGACGCCUUUCCUGACUCCAAGUGCUGCCCGUUGAAGCAGGCGCUGCUUAGGCGCACAAGGUGCUCACCUUUGGCCAGGUGUGAAGCCCUAAAAAGGUGUGCUUUUUCUUCUUCCUUCUCCUUUUCUUCUUCUUCUUCUUCUUCUUCUUCUUCUAUUCUUCUUCCUCCACAAAGCACCAACAAGUUGCAGAGGCAAAGCCCUAAUCUGGGCUUUCUUUUUUCUUUUGCGAUACCUAUGGCUGCUAAUUGCUUCAGCAACUCUAUUUUAAAACAAUUUCUUCUUCUGGUUGGAAGAAAACUUGUCUCAGUUUGGCUCUAGGUUUCCAUUGUCAAUCAUUCAACAAUCUUUUCCACUACUGCAGGUUAGGCAAGAUGAUAUAUCAUGCCUCCAUAUUACUCUCUAGAUGAUAACUCAACUUCCAUCAUUCAUGUACUUGGACUUGAUGAGGAUAUCACUACUACAAAAUCGUGGUUGCUCUCCAAGAUAAAGGAAAUUUGAAGCCAACAUAUGCCAUAGUUGUUAAAGGUGCACUUAAAGCACACCUAGGCCCAAGGUCGACCACUCCCUAGUUUAUAGCACCUCACUUACCAAUCAUGUGCCUUGAUGGAGAGGCACACCUCAUCUACUUUACUUUUCUUUAAUUAACACUUUUAUUCUUGAUAUUUCUAACUGUAUAUUGAAAUUCAUGUAAUUUUAUUACUUCUUUUGUUGAAUUCUUCUUUUAAAUCCUUGGGAUCUUAAAAUUUUUUUGUUACUUAAAUUGAAUUUUGCAUCAUGCUUUAUAAAAUUGAUAUGCAUCUUAUGUUACAUUUUACUUUCCUCAAGUGUACACCUAAGUCUUAGGAGACUUUUGUUCCUCAAGUGUGCCCUGCACCUUUUAAAACUAUGACCCAAACGACUACUAGAUGUCUUCAAGCAUACUACUCCAUGAUAAUUUUCAAUAUAAGGAUAUAAUAGGAUUAACUUAAGAAGAUUAUCUAUCUUGAUCACCCAUCUGUGCUCUUUUUGUUCUCUAUGAUUUGUUUACAUUUAAAAGAUGAAAAAUACCCUUUUUACUAUACAGAUACAAAUUUCACAAACUUCAUUUUGGAUGAUAACACUAAGCUCAGAUUUUCUGUAAUAAAAUACAACCAGUUGAGAGCAUAUUUGCUAUAUGGAUUCCAUACUUAAAUUGACAAACUUACAAACUCCGUACACUAUGCAUGCAACAUACUUUGAUUGCACAUUUUAGAUCAUGCACAUGAGCAAAUUAAAGUAUGCAAUGUAAGAGUCUUGGACAAGCCAAUCUUUUUAGGAUUAAGAGUUACUUGCUGUUUACCAUGCUAAUCAUGCUUUAGCUCUUAUGAAAAUCAGUUACUAAAGCAUCUAGCAAGAGACUUCGUUCAAUAUACAAAUGCUAACAAUACUACUUGUGAGUCCAUCCCCCCCCUAUGACCAAGUUUAGGUCAUAUUGCUAAAGUGGCAAGGAUCAAGCAAAUUAUUUGCCUAUUUCCAAUUAUGAUUGUGAAUAAGGAACCCACUGGAAAUGUAUAGGAAUUUUAUUUUUAUUGUUUGUCAUAAUCAAUGUUAUAGGAAUUUUAUUUUCCUUGUUAGAAUGCCCUGCUUCAGGUUUGUAUCAUGUGUAAUUAAUUUUAAAUUACUUAUGUUGCUGCUCCCUCUAGAUAUAUUUAAAGUCAAAUCAACCUGCAGAGGCUGAGAAUGCACACAGAAAGAUUCUACACGUCAUGGAAUUUUCAAAGGUCUAGUUCUCUUUUUCUUUCUUUCCCUUUUCCUUUUCCAGAAAACUUGGAGAUUUGCCUGUUUAACCCUUAUUUAGCAUACGUGAUAUUUGAAUUUUAUGACUGCAUUUUUUUUUCUCUUUUUUUGCAUAAAUUCUGCUGCACACUUAGAUUUUACUUGUCAAAUGUAUUGGAAUCAUCCCUCUUGUAUGGGAGCACAACCUUAUGGAUCAAUGUUUUAUCAUGUGCAUAUUAAUCCUUCUUUAGGUAUAAAUUUUGAGUCUAUUUACCAGUUUAUCAUAGAGGCUAUAUUGUUUCCUCUCUCUGUUGAACAGCUAGCUCAAAGGGCAGAAUGGGCAUCCACAUGCUAUAGAAACUUGAAAGAGUUGUAACAUUUGUAGGUGGAGCUCCUCUUAGUGUUGUUGCUCCUUUUGUUCAACUACACCAUUUUUCUGAUGCCCUAUGAAAACAUGACAACUGGGGUAAACUAACUUGAUACACGUGAAUAGCAUGAACUUUGUGCUUCUGCUGCUCCCUUAAACAGUCUAAUGGGGAUCAAUCAUGAACUUUGGUCAUGUAACAUUUUUUCUUUUUUUUUUUGGAUUGGAAACAAGAAUUGUAUUACUAUCACAUAAAGAUUUCAUGAGAGGGAUGAGGAAUCCUUCUCAGAAAUAUACAAACCUGAUUUAAACCACAAAAAACCUCUGCUAUACAAGGAGAUUGGUACAAAAAGAUAGAUCACAAAAAAAUGUACCAGAGGAACCUCUCCUGAAAAGACAGCUAGGCUCCUCUCAAAGGUGGCCCAACAUUGUCAUGUCUAAGGAAGUUAACUUGGUAUGAAAUAAAUGUGCCUUAGCAGCAUGUAUUAAUGAUGGUCAUAAUAUAAUUAUUAUUGCUGUAGGUAGGGUUAAAUGAAUUUCUUAGUCAAAAUGGACCAAGUCAAACUAGUAAUGCCAAUAUUGUUUCACUCUUCAUGGGGCAUGGAUAAAUCAAAGAAAUGCAUGAUGAUUGUUCAAAUUUUCACUAUUAUUUUUACCUUAUUGACUUCAUAUCAUGUUUCAGCCAUCCUAAAGACAAUCGUGUUACUCAUCAUUCCAUAGAUCUAGCUUUACAUCUCUUUUAACCUAGCUGUUUUCAUGUAACCUUAGAUGCUAAAUGACUUAUUGUUCACUUUUUUUUUUUUCCCAAAGAGACCAUAUUUAUUUUAAUUAUUUGUAUUUUCUGUCAAUAUUUUGAAUGAAUCGAAAUAUAAUGCUAAUGAUGUUAAAUAUGGAAGAAGGUAGACUAGCAUCUUUGCUUGGGUGUAAGGUUUGGAGGUUUUCCACUUCUUAUCUUAAUUUACCCAUAGGAGUGCCUUAUUAGUCUUAUAUUGUGUGGAAUGUUAUGGAGGAAAGGAUCAAUAGAAGAUUGGCUUCUUGGAAGAAGCAGUAUUUGUCAAAUGGAGGAAGAUUACUUCUUUUAAAGAGUACUUUCUCAAGCUUACCAAUCUAUUUUAUGUCCCUUUUUGCUGCCCCCCUCCCCCUUGCUUGUUUUGGUGUAUUUGGGAAGAGCGAAACUGUAGAAUCUUUAAUGGAUAAAAACUUGCAGAUCAGAGGUUAAAGGAGAGUUUCAUUAAUUCCCUCUUUGGUUGAACUAAAGUUUGGUUAGAAAUAGAUAGUCUUAGUGGUGGAUAGUUUUGUUUUGAGAUAGUUUUUUGUUGAUACCUGUUGGUAUUCUUUGUUUUCUUUUUUGUGUGUACUUCAUGAAUACUUAGGGUGCUCUACCCCCUUCUCUCUCUCUUAUGGUCCAAAGUAUCGGCCAAUUCCAGUACAACUCAGUUGAGUCGUAUCUGCCUCGGCCCUUUCCGCAUUGAGUCUGAUACCCGAUACCAUCUCAAAGUCAAAGUCAAACUCAAUCAGGAAUCAUUUAAACUUGGUUGACUCAAUCAAGAUUCCGAGUUGCAUCAGUUGAAAUAUCCGAGUUACCAAAGGAAAUCCUUUUUUUCAUUUUCAAAUCACAGCAAAUCAACAAUAGACAAGAUCUAAACCUAAAAGAUUUCUGAAAAAUCAGAGCUUGUCUUCAAAAGAAAAAGCUUUUUAAUAACCACGACCCAUGACCCAUGAUGAAGAGGAAGAAAGACAUCAAUGAACAAUAUGCAAACCUUAACUAAUGAGCAUACAAGUUGAAUUCCAGGUUGGAACCAAAUUUUCAUAUCAUGUUAUGAUAGUUCCAAAUUCUGUCAAUAUUAGUUUAUUAUUUAAUGUAUCAUGGCAUUCAUACAAUGGUACUCAUGGUGACAGUCGGAAUUAUCUGUUUAUAGAGUCACAAGGUGUUAUUACUACUGUAUCAGUGCUCUAUUAUUACAAUAAUUACCUUAGUACAUAUGUUGCAACACAGGGAUGGAAUUCUUUGGACACUGUAAUUGCAGCUGAAGAUCUGGCCUUGACUCUGCAGUCAGUUGGGAGAUUAAGGGAAGCACAAGAGCUUCUCCAAAGGUGAAUAGUUAAUUAACUAACGAGUAACUGUAAUUAUACAUGAUUCCACAAGAAAUAUAUGAAUCUAUUUUUCAUUGCAGGUGUCUUGAUGUCCGAAAAUCCUUACUUCCAGAAGACCAUAUUCAGGUGUUUUGUUUUCACAUGAUAAGUCCCAAAAUGCAUGAGUUUAUUUUCUCAUCUUGUGUUACUUCUAUCCUUUGUUUUUAUUUUGUGUGUUAGUCUGUGACUUAAGUGACCACAGCUAAGUAAGCAUAAGUUAAAAGAAACUGUGAAUUACUCCUAAUUUUUUUCUCAGUCUAUGUUCUGUAUGAAAAAUGAUUAUGAGAGGUUAUCUCUUAAUCUUUUGAACCAUUUGGCACAUCAUCUUGAGACUUGGCAAUUCAAUGUUCAUACUUUAGUGUGAAUGGGGCGAAUAUAUCAUUAUUCUCUGCUCUGUCAUGCUAGCAGCUUAGCCUGAUAAACAUUUUCAUAAUCUCAUUAUGCUCAUGAACAAAUAGAAAAUAUCUACCUAAACUUAUAUGGAAAUGCAUACUUUGUAACUUACAAGAUGCACACUUGACACUCAUAAACAUGUAUAUGUUGGAUUUGUUUCAGGCCUCUGAUGCCUCAAAGAUCAUUAUUUUGGUAGUUUCCCCCUUUUCAUCUAGUGAGUUUCACUAAAAGAGCUGCAACAUAGUUUUAGAAGCUUGCAGCUCUAUUAGGACUUAAGAGAGCAUUUUGUUUCUUGUGAGCAAUUUUUAUGAGUUAAGUUCCUGCUCAAGUUAAAUGGACCUUUCAGAAAUUGGGGACAAUAUUCUCUCCAAGAUAGGUGAGGUCUCUCUCAUGAUUUCACUUCUUUGUGAGGGCCAAGAUGAAAAAGGGGGGAAACUCCUCCAGCUUUUAUACUCUUAAAUCUUCCUGAUAUCUGCCUGAUCCUGCCAGUUUGGUCAAUAUUUUCUUGCAUCUCACUUUGAAUCUGGACCCUUGAUAACCCUACUGAUAUUAAGAUGGCCUACCAUAAUGCCACUCUAUAUUUUUUUUAUUUUAUCAGAAUGCCCCUCUGUCUUUCAUUAUUCUCAAUAGUUUGUCAUAUGGGUUAGUUUUGCAUUAACUAUUUCAACUUGUUGAAGAAGCUGCAUUUGUUUUGUAUGUUUCAACAUUUUGCUUCAGCCUUAAUGGUAUUAAGUUUUAUAAUUUCUGUAUUUCAAUCAAUUUUGUUCUUGUACUGGAAAAAGUUCCAAUAUUUACAUAAAAUUGUGAACUUUGGUAAUUAUGUUUCACUAUCUAUACAUAUGUGUGUGUGUGUGUGUGUGUGUGUGUAUUUAUAUGUAUAUAUGUAUAAUAAUUACAUAAUACUUUUGUAUAUAUACAUAUAAAGCCAUUCUUUCUCUCCUUUAACAGAUCAGUGCCAACUUGCUUCACAUGGCCAGGGUGACAUUGCUCAGUUCUGGCCAACUAAAGAAGAAGGAUGCUUAUGAAGCAAUUUCUGAGCUUGAUAAAGCAAAAGAUCUUUUAGGCAAUUCAAUCAGGUUCGUGUUAUUUGAUCACAUUUGUUGAUUUUUGAAUCAAAAUCCAAAAUAGAUAAAUAAUUGAAAUAUUUCUUUUUGUUUCAGCAUGUAAUCUAAUUCCUCUUUAUUUAUUUAUCUUUUCAACAUUUUUCUUUUGCCCUUUUUCUUGUCUAAUGUUGAGCAACCAAUUUUCCUAAAAGCUUAAAGGUUGUAGGAUUUGGGCUCAAAAUGAAUAUUAUGCUCUCCAACAUCCUCCCUCACAUGUAGCCUCCAUUUUUGAGCUUACACAUAGACUUAAUAAAUUGGAUAAAUAAACAUACAGUGGUAAGGUUCGAACACUUGACCUCUCACCAAACAAGGCUUUGAUACCAUGUUGAAUGAUUGAUUUUCCUAAAAGUUUAAACUUAUAGGAUUUGAGAAUCCAUUGUUACAUGUAUGCAUUUUACAGUUGCUUUUAUUGCUAGGGGAAUUUGCGUUUGACUAUUAACAGAAAGCUUUAUUGAUGAGGGCAUAGAAAGGGAAUGCUUAGUAUAAACUCCAGAUUACACUGUUAAAGGGAAGAAUAGAAUGCUCUGCUGCUCUGCUCUUUCAGAAAAACUGUUCUAAGAAUGAGAAUACUGGUCUGUUGAAAUUUCAUGAACAACCCAUAUUUUGCUUAAGCUGUUGUCAAACAUAAUUUUUUCAGUUCUACUUGUGGAGUCCUUUUAAAUUUUAUAUUGUCACCUACAAGAUUAAUAUAUUAACUAAUUAUUUAGUUAUUUUUUCUUUCUUUUCUGGUUUAAUUAAGUGUGUGUAAUACUCAUGUAAUCCCUGAGAUUAAUCAUUAAGCAUUAUUCCAAUUUUUUGUUCUCUUUAACAUGGUAUUAGAGCUUGAAAUUUUUUCACUCUUAUAUUCUAAGUUCUCAUUGACCUUCAUUGCUAAGCCUUGGAUCUUUCUUAUUGGUUGUUUGGUUAUCCCUAUUUUAGUUUUGAGUGUUCUUUGUUUAAAAGCUGGUUUUUCCUCUAAGGCAGUCUCCAUGGAAGAUCCUUAAUAUGCUUUACUAGUUUCAUUGGCAGCGCUAAAGGGAGAAAGAGACUUUACCACCUAGAACCUAAGGUGAAGAGUUCUAUGCAAGUUUAUGACACAGGGAGUUGCAAGGAUCAAGAGGUAGAAAUUUGGGCUCUAUUUGGGAAGUGUUUUUGAAAACAAUUUUGAAAAAUAGCUUUUGAGAACAAGUUUUGAAAAUUAUUCUUUGAUGUUUAUAGAACAAAAUUAGGGAUUUACAUGGCUAAAUUAAGUAAACAAAAAUUACAGUCAGAUCCCAGAGGUCAUAUAUUUACCAAAUUAAACUAAAUAUCUCCAAUUAAAUAGGAUAAUAGGUCAACCAAAUCUGGUCAUUAAAACCAAAUUUCCACUAUUAUUACAAAAUGUUUGCUCCUAUUUCGUAUAUGAAUACCAUAAGAGUCCUCUUAACAUUGGCAAUGAAUCUAACCUUGCCACUGCAACAAUUUGACAUCAAGAAUACCUUUUUACAUAAGAACUUGGAAGAGGAAGUCUGAACAGACUUGCCAUCAGACUUUAGCACCAAUGACAUCAAGGGAAAAGUUUGCAGGCUAAAGAAGUCUUUGUAUAGGUUGAAUUAAACUCCAAGAGCUUGGUUUGAGAGGUUUGCUAUGUCUCUAUAUGGGUUCGAGUACAUUCAAAACAAAGGGGGUCACUCUCUCUUCAUCAAGCAUGCAUGGCAACAAAAAAAAAAAAUCACAACAUAUAGGGUCUAUGUGGAUGACCUAAUAGUUAUUGAUGAUGACAACGAUAAAAGGGAUCAAUUGGUGAAAGAGGUUGAAAUCAAAGGCCUAGUGUAGAUAAGGUAUUUAUAUGGAAUCAAAGUUGUAAGAUCAGCCAAGGGAAUUUAUGUUUGUCAAAGAAAAUAUGUCUUGGACUUGUUAACGAAAUUGUGAUGCUUGGUUUUAAGCCAGUUGGCACUCCCAUAGACCAAAAUCAUAGGCUAGAACAAGAAAAAAGAGAACCAGUUCAUAAAGGAAGAUAUUAGAACCUAGUGGGGAAGGUAGUUUAUCUAUUUCAUACCUGGAACCACAAGAAUGGCUCAUGGAAGCCCUAUGGAGAAUAUUGAAAUAUUUAAAGUUUGCGCUUCGCUAUGGUUUAAUUUUUUCCAAUAUUGGUCAUUUGAAGUAGAUUCACUGACAAAUUGACGAUCAACUAGGCAUUGCACCUUUGUUGGAGGCAAUUUGGUUCCAUAGAGGAGUAAAAAGCAAUUCAUGGUGGCUAGGUCAAGUGUGGAAGCUGAGUUUCGGGCUCUAGCUCAAGGUAUAUGUUGAACUCCUAUGGUUAAAAAUUCUACUCAAAGAAUUACAUGUCAAUGUAGCACAGCAUUUGAGAUUGUAUUGUGACAAUAAUGUAGAUAUCAUUAUAGCUCAUAAUCUGGUACAUCUUGACUAAUCCAAGCACAAGGAGAUAGAUAGACCCUUCAUAGUGAAAAGAUUGGCAUUAGUUAGAUUUACAUGUCAUUUGUACCUUUUGGGGGUAAGUUGUAGGCAUAUUCACCAAAGGUGUUAACGGUUCUAUAUUCAAAAGUAUCCCAUGCAAGAUGGGGCUUGUGGAUUUCUUUGAACUAGCUUUAGAAGUGUUAGGAUUUUUUAUCUUUUAAAUUUACGAAUAGUUGGAUAGGUUGAGUAAUCCUUGCUUUUGUAGGAGCUAAAAGAUGAGUCAAUUCUAUAUUUCUUUGUUUGGCACUGAUUUAUAGGAUGUGAUAGAGUAGCUUUCUAAUUUUAUAUGUUUGUAAAGAGGUUGAUACCUACAUACUGUACACUUUUUUUAUAUCAAUAUAUUAAAAAAAUGAGAAAUUAUUCUCACAUUCUCUAAUCCCUAAGAAUUUUACACAGAGUUUGCAGGAUUUCAAAUUCCUCUAAACUGCUUAGGACGUGAGAAAUUUUCUGUUCUAGUUAUCACAUGGGAUUUGAUAUGUUCUUGUAAUGCUAAGUCAUAAAUUGUGAUCGGUCAUGUUCAAGUGGAGUGGAAUACAAUAGGAUCCAAAUGUUCCACCUUCAAUAAAAUAUUUAAACUACAUUUACACAUAUCUAAAACAUGAAAUGUAGAACAGUGCAUUGCUGCUAAAGGAUUUAUUAUAGAGAUUAUUAUUGAUUGAGUUUAGAUGUUGGAAUUUAAACCCUUUUUUUACCUAUGUUGACUAGUAUAAUCAUGAUAAGUUGUAUAACAUUUGAGCAACUCUCACUUGUUUCAUGAUGACUCAGCAAAUUUUGAAAUUAGAAUAUCAGUGACCUCCUGAAAAAGCUUAAAACUGUACCUAAGAUCCAUAAAUAAGGGUGAGGGAUUUAUGUGAAUAUAUUAAAUUGAAGAGUGGUAUGUGACAUUCCUAAGAGCUGUAAUUGUGUCUUUUUCUUUGUACAUUCUGAAUUGUAAAAGAACAUUUAAAGAAGAAGGAGCUGUGUUUCACAAAAACAAAGACAAAAGUAGAGAAAGUAAACAAGUACAACAACCAAAAGACAGCAGAAAAAAGAUUGAACCAAAAAGUUACUGCUCUAGAAUGUAUAAAUUCCUCAUGAACAAUCUAGACAAAAGUUGUAGCUACUUGGCUUGAAAGUUUUUUAGCUGGUUAGUUGAGUGAUGAAUCCAAGAGUAUGAGUGUUACAAGACUCUAGGUAGGUCAAUAAGUUGAUAUAACCAAACAUUAUGCUUUCAUGGUCAUCACAUUUACUUAACAUCCAAGAAAUAACAGUAGCAGAACUCCUUCAACUAAAAGGUUAGAGUGCCUGAAUACCUCCUUCAAAGCUGCAUACCAGUAUGUAGGAGGAAGCUCUAAAUACACGACCAUCAGUCUUUAAUUACUCCUUCAAUCCCAAGGUAUCUUGUUGUAGCCUUUUCAAAUUUUAGCUUGAGGCCACCUAUUCAAGAGGGUCUCCUCUCUUGCACCUCUGCCACACUCCUCUGGAAGAACAAAUAUUGCUUGAAUCUAGCAAGAUUAACCUCAAAGGAGUACCAUUAGAGACUACAGUGGCAUUGCUAAUUUCUGUAUCUUUAGGUUUUUACCCAAUACAUCAACAGGAUAGCCAAAUUCAAGAAAAUGUUCCUAAUGAUACAUUGAUUUGAAUCUACUUGUGGUGCUAAGCCUGGCUUGUGGCAAUAUGCAGCUAUUCUGCUUUGCCUUUGUAUAUGGACUAUUUUUGCAAUUUAAAGAAUAUUAAAGUUUAACUGAAAUUUUUGUUGGCAAACAAGAGAAUAUAGAUGUGUACAUUCGUAUUUUUUUUUUUUUUUCUCAAUUCAACUUUUCUAAUUCCAAUUAUGCUAUGAAAGAUUUUAUUGCAAUAAUAGAUUAAUAGUAAAAAAUGAGCAAUACAAUGAUUUCUAAAUAUAACUAUAUUUCCAAUUGCAGUAUAUGGUUGCUUUAGACCCACCUCAACAUUUGCAUUUCCCAUCUAUUAUUAAUUUAAUGUGUAUAUAUAUAAUUCUUCACAUAUCUCUUUCCAUGAUAGGAUAGCACAGCAUGUUGUGGAUAAGUUAAAAGAAAAAGGCAUCUUGAAAAACCAUAGAGCAUCUGGAGAAACUGAAAAGGAAAGGCAUGCAGCAUUGGUCAUACUGGUCAGUUCUCUCUUUCUGUAGAAUGUGGACAAUUUAUCAGCCCAUAGGAUUUUGCUAGUCAAUACUGUCAUCUAUGCACAAUCCUUCUUUGUCUUUCUCUACUUCAAGACUGUAUGGGGCCUUACUUUUCCAACUAGGGAAGCCUCUUUAUAAAAUGUACUUUGGAAUUCAUAAAUUAUGUUUUACUCAUCUGUUGUUGACCAUUGUGUAACAGGAGGUUCAGAUUUUAUCUUGUCACAUUCCAUAUCAUAGCAGAGGACUGAAUGUCAUGUAAAAUACUUCAGUUAGGUGAAUUAUAAUAAAUCUGGUAAAAAUUGAGAACUAGAAGGAAAAUUUUAAAUAUGAAUUGGCAUCUAAGGAACCGACUUGCUGCUAUAAUGUGAGAAAUCUGGUCACUUUGGCAAAUCGUUUGCCUCACUUUGUUGUGUAUGGUGUGGCAAGAGAGAAAUGCUAGGAUUUUUGAGGAUAAGGGGAGAUCAAAAGAGAUGUUAUGGGAUUUACUUCAUUUCUAUUCCUCUCUUUGAGCCUCUUGUACUACUGCUUUUAGAGGAGUUCCUCUUAGUGUUUUACAACUCAAUUGGACUGCGGUUUGUGAUUCAAAAGUUUGAGAUAGUUAUGGUUUUUCUUUGUAUAUAGUUUUUUAAAGUUGGGUGUUUUCUCUUUUGAUCGGUUUCUGUUUUUGUGGGAAGGCCUCUCAUCCUUCUCUUGUAUCUUUUUCUUUUCUUGUAUCUCAUCCUUCUCUUGUAUCUUUUCUUCUAUUAAUACAUUUUUCUUCAUUUCUGAUCAAAAAAUAAUAAUAAUAAUAAUGUGAGAAAUCUGGUAAAAAUUUGAGAACUAAGAGUGAAAUUUAAAUAUGAAUUGGCAUCUAAGCAAUUGACUCAUUUCUAUAAUGUGAGUGGAGAAUAUUGAUUAGGAUCAAGUUUGUUAUGUUCUGUUUUUAAAUUUAAAAUAUAAUUGUUGUAGGUGAUUAGGAAGCUUUCUCUGACGUCUCAAUUCCUAUCUGGUUGUUAGGUUUUUCACUUUAAAUGUACUGGUUGUUCAUUCUAAUAAAUUAAGAGCACUAUUUCAUUUAUUUUCUAGCCUCUGUUUACAUGGUAUCAGAGUUGUACCUUUGGUCCUAGGGUUUAACAGCUAAAACAGCCAUGGUUGGGACUAGCAUAUUGCAGGGAAGAGAGAACAUUUCUCUCCAAAUUACUGCCCACAAGUUGAAUGGCAAAAAUCCAUACUUGUUCCAAUAUGAAGGAUGCCAACUUGCCAAACACAAUGGUGUAAUAUUUCCUUCUCAACUUUAUAAAUCUUCAAAGCAUUUUAUGUAAUUCAUAGUGAGAUUUGGGGGCCUUCUAGAGUAACAAGCAUCUCUAGUAAAAAAUGGAUUUUAGCAUUUACAUAUGACCCAUACAUGAGUAUGUUGGGUUUAUCUCUUGAAAAAAAAAAAAAAAAUUGAAACUUGCCAAAUCUUCCAAACUUCCAAACUUCCAUUCCAUGGUCCAAAAUCAGUUCCAAGCACAAAUUCAUGUUCUAAGAAUGGAUAAUGGUAGAGAAUACUUCCAUUCUAUCUUUAGGAAAGUACCUAGCCAAACAAGGAAUGAUUCACUAGAGUUCAUGUGUAGACACUCUACAAUAGAAUGGGGUUUCUAAAAGGAAAAAUAGGCUUUUCCUAAAGGUUGCAAGGACUUUAAUGUUCACAAUGCAUGUUCCUAAGUACCUAUGGGGAGAGGUCCUUACCGCCUCUUACCUGAUGAAUAGAAUGUCAUCUAGGUUCCUGAACUACCAAACUCCAAUUUUGAGCCUCAUGAAAUCCUAUCCUCAUUUCAGGUUUAUUCACUCUCUACCCUCAAAAUCUUUGGUUUUACAGCAUUUGCUUAUAAUCAUUCACCUAACCAAUGUAAGCUUGAACCUCAAGCCAUUAAAUGUGUCUUUCUUGGUUAUUCUCCCACUCAAAAGGGUUAGAAAUGUUGUUGUAUAGUUACGAAAAAAAGUCUUGGCAUCCAAAGAUGUCACUUUCUUUGGGUCUCAAUCCUAUUUCCCAAUCAUCUUUCUUUAAGGGUGGACACAACCAUGUGACGAUUGUUUCUAGGAAUUAUCAUUACACAAUCCUGCUUUAGUCCCUUCUGUUUCUUGUCCUUGUGUCAUAGCCAAACCUACUAUGUCAUCAACAAAUCAAGAAAACUUAGAAGAUGGGGGAGAUUUUCAAAAGCUAAACCGACUAGGGCUUUAUGUUUAUUCAAGGAGAUCCAACCCUUAAAGUGGAUGGCACCUCAUGUCUCCUCAUGGUCAGGACUUUCAAUCGGAAGUGGCAAGCUAGAAUGAUUCAAGUAAUCUCAAUUCCAUUCCCAUCUCAACUUCAUCUAUUGAAAAUGAUCUUAGAAACUUAGAUUUGCCCACUACUUUUAGGAUAGGAGUCAGGUCAUAUAUACAUCAUCCCAUCUCUCAGUUUGUGUCCUAUGAAAAACUAUCAUCUUCCUUCUAUAUAUGAGGCUCUAGUUGUUUCGGAGUGAAAGAAGGUUGUUCAAGAGGAAAUGAGUGCAUUAGAGAAGAAUGACACUUGGGAAUUGAUGAGUUUGCCUAGAAGGAAAAGCACAGUGGGCUGCAAGUGGGUAUUCACUGUUAAAUACAUUUCAAAUGGCACAAUUGAGCAAUACAAAGUUAGAUUGGUGGUGAAGGGAUUUACUCAGAUUUAUGGAGUGGAUUUUCAAGAAACCUUUGCUCCUGUUGCAAAACUCAAUACUAUAAGGGUUCUCCUAUCUCUUGCAACAAAUCUAGAUUGGCCACUACACUAAUUAGAUGUAAGGAAUGCUUUUUGGAAUGGAAAAUUCGAUGAAGAGUUGUAGAUGGGCCUACUAUUAGGGUUUGAGGAGAUAGGGAGUUCUAAUUGUAUGUAGACUCAGAAAGUCGCUCAAUGGUUUUAAACAAUCACCAUGAGCAUUGUUUGACAAAUUUGGGAAAGCAAUCAACAACCACAAAUUUUUUUCCCCAAGCCUAGGCAAAUCAUACCUUAUUCUUCAAACAUUCUCAAGAUGAUAAGAUCACAAUCUUGAUAGUCUACAUUGAUGAUAUCAUACUUACAUGAGACAAUAUGAGUGAGAUGGAAAGGUUGAAGUGAAUUUUUGUCUAAGAAUCAGAUCAAGGAUCUAGGAAAAAUGAAAUAAUUUCUUGGAAUGGAGGUUGCUAGGAGCAAACAAGGAGUUUCGGUCUCACAAAGAAAGUACACCCUUGACCUCUUGAAGGAAAUUGGGAAUGUUUGGGUGUAAUCUAGUAGAACACCCUUGGAGCUAAACUACAAGUGUAGAUGAAAUGGAGGGACACCCAUGGAUAAGGGUAGGUACCAAAGGCUAGCUUCUACAGGAACCCAAACUACGUUAGAAUACAAAGAUUCCAACUACUUCAUAGCUCCUUGCCUUAAGUGAGCACAAACACUGCUCACCAUUUCAUGAUAAUCUGUAAAAUAUAAAUCUCCCACUACGAUGAGACACUGACAUUCUAGAAAUUAUAUGAAUGGUACGCCUUUAACCCUCUGAAUCCAUAGUAUCCUAUGUAAUGUAGGACUAUCUUCUAAUAUAUCCUCAAAUGUAUACAAGUCUUUGCCAUAUUCCUUAUCAUAUAGUCUUCAUAAAAAAUCUAACAUUUGUGUCAUAUAGGACCAAACUUCUUUCAUUGUAAGUGUGGUAAGUCAAUAUAUGCAUGCACCAUGUGAGAAACAUUUAUAGGCAAUAGAAUAUUGAGGUACUUGAAAAUGACUCCAAGAAAGGGAUUGUUUUUUGGGAAGAGAGUAGAGAAGAAGAUUGAAGCUUUCCCUAAUGCUAAUUGGGUUGGGUCAAAAGAAGAUAGGAGGUCUACCUCGGGAUAUUGCACCUUUGUAUGGGGAAAUUUGGUGACACAGCAAAGUAAAAAAGUCUAGUAUAAUUUCUAGACACAGCACUGAGGCCGAGUUUAGGUCUAUGGCUCAAGGGAUUUGUGAAAUGAUCUGGUUGAAGCUAUUGCUAAAGGAGUUUAAGAUGCCCUCACACAGUCCUAUGAAACUGUGUUGUGACAAGAAAGCUACCAUAAGUAUAGCUCACACCCGGUCCAUCACAAUAGAACAAGGCACGUGGAAAUCGACCAUCAUUUCAACAAAGAGAAGAUAAAAGAAUGGCUAAUAUGCAUCACCUACAUUCCUAUGAAACAAUAGACUGUAGACAUCUUAAUAAAAGGCUUGUCGAGACAAAAUUUUGAGGAUAUGACAUAUAAGAUGGGAAUGUUAGACAUUUUUUUCCAACUUGGGUUGGAGUGCAGAGAAUAUUGAUUAGGAUCAAGUUUGCUAUGCUAGUUUUAUUAAUAUUCUAUUUUUUAAAUUUAAAAUAUAACUAUCAUAGGUGAUUAGUAAGCUUUAUCUCUUUGAAGUUUCAUCUCUAUUUUCAAGGAAUUUAGUUUAGCCUAGAUUCUGUUUGGUUGUUAGGUUUGUAUUUAUAAAUAUGUUGGUUGUUCAUUCAAAUAAAUUAAGGAGCCAUUUCAUUUAUUUUUUAGCCUCUGGGGAGAAAUGUGUUUAUCACUUGGUCUCAGACCUUUGCUACAGUCCUAGGAGUACAUAGGUAUCUGAUGCUGAAUAUAUGUACAUACUAAUGUCUCAUAUUGUCAUAUAUCGUAGCAAGAGAUUUGGUGAUGCAGAAUUGAUAACUUAUAGUUGUGCCUGCAGUUGCAGUCCCUUGAUACUCUUGGGCUUUUGGAGAUUACCAAGCAUGAAUUACUCGAGUCAAGGGUAAGUGUUAAGUACUCUUUUAUCCUCAUGGUUUGUUCUGCUUAUUCAUUUGUAAUUACAUAUGGAUUCUAUGUCCCUUUUGCCCAUGUUAGACAACUUUUCAUAGCCUUUGGACAUUAACAUGAUUAUCUCCGGCAGUAUUUAGUUAUGUAGAAUGUUGACAAGUUUCUCCCUGAGCAACUUUGUUUCUCCAUGGCAGUAAACUUUCUUCUACAAGGCAACCCCUUCUAAUUUUUAAGAGUAAUUUGGUAUUUGUAUAGUCUUUUCCGGUUGCAAUUUGAAAGAAUUGGCAAUAACUUUUAGAUAGCAUUUCUACCUUCAUAUUGGAAUUGUAUCUUCCCAGCUUUGUUAUGUAUGUAGCAUUUGAACAUACAAAUAAGGCUUAGGAUUGACCUUGCUUACUACUUCCUAAUAAUUGAAUGUGUAAUCACCUAGAUAAUAACUAAAAAAAAUUAAACAUCAAGCCCCACUACCACUACCCCAGGUCACAUUUUCUGGUUUGCACCUCCAUGAUAUUGCUUCUCCUGACUUAAAACCACUUCGACAAUUUCUGGCAAGGAAAGGUAGGGUGUUCAGUAUCAUGAAAUGACAAGACAAAGCCUUUGAAUCUAGGUUCAUGCAUCUUGUAAUGAUUUAGAAUUUUGGAAUCUCUGAAUGUUUUGUAACAUCUCCCCAUAAAGAAUUUCUGUAACUUUCCUUAUCCAAAGAACAACAGAAAUAUGGAUCUGAAUGGAAUCACCUCCCUUUGUUUUAUUCUAGAAAUCCUUCUUACCCAGCACAGUCUUCAACAAACUAAAUCUUUUGUUUUCCUUGGGCCACCAAAUAGAGAUGUAUUUUGACAUUGGCUUUUAAUAAUUCAGUAAACAUCUGGUUUCUAGAUCAACCUUUGGAAGAAGAGUAUAUUUAGUAAUGCUCAAAAUUUACCUAGUUACUCUUGUGUGUAUGAGGACAUUUUUUUUUCCCAUUGUAAUAGUCAUGCAGCUUUUUAAAUUAUUUCUAUGUUUUCAUAAAACAGGGGGAGCAUCAACCAUUCCUUGAGGCUGAAAAUGUACUUCGCCAAUGCAUUUCUGCUUUCAAAGAGGUAAAAUUCCUGGAAGAUUCAUCAUGCAUGUGUUAUAUAGGAUUCAUGAAAUAUGAAUACCUGAAGCCAAUUUUUCUGUUCUAGUUACAGAUAAUAAUUUUCUCUAGAACUAUGAAAUAAACUGAAAUAAUAAAUGUGAUAUCCAUUAAUAAACAAUGAAGAAAAUUGCCUAAAAACCAGUCUUAGAAGACUAACUACAUUAAAGUAGAAGACAUUCUUGCUCAUUGUUGUCUUAGUUGGUGUGAAUUCCAUUUAAGCUAACCUAAGUAAUCACCCAAGAAAGAGGGUUUCAGGAGGAGGGAUGUGAGGGUGUUGAAUUGGAUGAUGACCUCUUUUCAGCUGUCAAACCAAAUUUCAACACAAGUAAAAUAUGGAUGCAAAUGAUGAAAAAUAAAGUGUUGAAAUUGAAGAGAGUAAGGGAAUAUAAAAGGAAAAAAAGCUUUUGUGAUUCUGGUCAAUAAACCCACUCUGUCUACACCCUCUUAACUUCCUUACAAAAGCCUUCUUCUCAACCAAGACUCUGAUUAUCCUUCUUUACACUUGGAUUACUUAUGUUCUAAUGGACCUUUACAACUUCUAUGCGUAUCCUCUCACCUCUCUCUCUCUCCUCACAAGAUUACAAGGAAAAACAUGUACAAAAGACCUUCACAAAGGGUAAGCUAUAGGAAUCCCACAUAUUCUAUUAGUUGACUUCCCAUAAUAUCAGAAUUGUUUCUUGAUUUUAUGUAGUAAAUUAUUUAGUUGACUUUUGUGAAUUAGGAAUGUGAUAAUUGUUAAGAGGAUUCUUAGGAGUCAGUCAACUAUUCUAAUUAGUUUCCUUUCUUAGACUUUUGUUUUGUUUUUGUGUGUGUGUUUUGUUUUAGUAUUCAAAUCUCAAUGUGAUGUAUUAUUAUCUGCAUCAAUUCUAAAAGAAAAAUAAUACAAUUUUUUAUUCUCCAAUAUGGUAUUAGAGCUAUAAACACCUUUGUUAUAUGGCCCUUUGUUGCUUGAACACCUUAGGUUUUUUCAGUCCUCCAACCUCUUUGUCUUUAUUUAUAACCUCUAAAUCUGUAGGACUCAAAUCUUCUGCUAUUCUUUCUUCCUAUGGAAUGUAAGAAAACUCAAGAUGAGUGUGCAGGAGAUUCCAUGCAUCAGAAAGAAAAAGAGAUAAGUAAGAGUGAUAGUCAAAUUUGUCAGAUUACUAUAGAGAAAAUAAAUGGGCAGAAUUCUCUUGACUGGUGUUAGUUUGUCAAAUUGUUUCUUUAGAAGUAAAGGGAAAAUGGGAUAUCUAACAAGAGCUGUUAAGGAACCUAAACCCAUUGACUACUUGUUUAGUGCUUGGUAUGCUGAAAAUUCUAAGAAUGUGUCUUGUCUAUUAUAGUACGAUACUAAUAACAAUGUGUCCAGAUAUUUGUAGAUGUCUAUAUGCAACUGCUCUUCCUUUCAAUUCAGUGAAGGACCUUUAUUUCAAAAUAAUGUUGGAAUCUAUUGUUUCAUUUGGUAAGGCAUUGAAGCCUCCUCCAUAUCAUGAGUCACAAUUUUGAAAAAAAAAAAAAAGAAAUGGAAUUAAUAAAUAGGGUUUUGUUGGAAAGUUGCAAAAUAGAAUGGAAGAAAACUAGUUGCACUCUAAUGUAUGAUGGAUGGACUGAUAGGAAGAAUGGAUCCAUUACCAAUUUUUUUUGUAAACGGUUUAAGGACUAUUUAUCUAAAAAGUAUUGAUACUUCAAAAUUCGCAAAAAAUGAUGAAAAUGUUGUCAAAGUAGUAAUGGAUAAUGCUUUAACAUAUGUGAAAGCUGGAAAGAUUUUAAUGACAAAGAGAAAGCAAUUGUUUUGGACUCCAUGUGCUUCCCAUUGCUUGGACCUUAUUCUAACAUAUAUUGGAGAUCUUCCCAUUCAUAAUGAUACAAUGUCCAAGGAAAGAAAAAUUACAGUCUUCAUCUACAUGCAUUUUAGGUGCUAAAUAUCAUCAAGAAGUACACUAAGAAAAGGGAAUUAGUGAAAGUUAGUGUUAGUAGAUUUCCAACAUCAUACUUAACUUUAAGGUGCUUGCAUGACAUUAAAAUCAGGAUGAGGGCAAUGUUUUCUUUUGAAGAGUAGCAACGAAGGCAGAUGACAUAAAAGUUGGGGAUAAUACUCUAGCUGACCAAACAAUCUAGUCAUCCAUCAAACAUUACUUGAAGUGUGUAAUAUCAUUAGUGAAAGUUUUAAUACUUGUGUAUGUGGAUGUAAAACUUGCUAUGGGAUAUUUUAUGAAGCAAUGGAUAAGCUAAAGGUACAAAAAAUAAAAUAAUAAAUAAAUCAUGGAGUGAAAAAAAAAAUUAUCAACCUAUUUAAGAUAUUGUUGACAGAAGAUAGGAUAUGCUUGCACAUGCGUGUUCAUGCAAUUGCAUAUUAUCUCAAUCCAAGGUAAACAUUCUAUAUAAUUUUCUUUCUAAAUGUAUUUAUCCCUUUUAUAGUUGCUUUAGCCUUUAAUCAAAUAAUUUUUUUGGCAUAUAAUAUAGAUUUUAUUAUUCUCUUGAAUUUAAUACAGACUAUAAGAUCAAAAUGAGAUUCUUCAAAACUAUUCAAAGAAUAUGCUCUUUUCCUAUGAUGAGAGAGAGUUGAUAAAACAGUUAGAUUUAUUCCAUAAUGCUAAGAAGAUGUUCGGGAUGGACAUAACAAUCCAAAUGAGGAAUAAAAAGCAACUACGUAAAUUUAGUUGUAGUAAAAUAUACAAACCAUAAGAUAUGACAAAAUGUGUUACUUAAAUAAUACUAGUAAUUGAUGUUAUGAUUUUGAAUUUUGGUAAUAUUAUGGUGGGAAUCCUUUGAAAGAUGACUUGUAGUGCCACAUGAUGUAAAAGAAAUUGGAAUACAUUUGAUCACGUACGAAAUAUGAUGCAAAUUUAUUUUAUUGUCAAUAAGAACUACCAAAAUAAAAUUGGUAGGUUUUUGAAUAAUUGAAUCCUUAAAUAGUUGCAUUGUACAAAAUGCACGUGUAUUUAUCAAUCACAAUCGAUGAUUAAAGGCAAGACAUCAAAGAAGAAUAAUAGAGGGUGAAACUUACAAUCAAAUUUCAUUAUCAGAUGUGGGAUUCAAUGAUGAGUGGAUUACCAAAAGAGAAGAUGCAAUAAGAAAAAGUAGUUGAUAAAGGAAGAGAGGUAAUAAAUUAGUAGUUGAAAAAUUAGUUUAUAAUAUAAGCAUGAAGUUUAUUUUAUUAAUAUUUCAUGCUUUCUUUUAAUCAUAAUGGUUAUAUUACUUAUUUGUAGGACCUAGAUAUCUUACAUUGGACAAAAGAGCUAAAAAAAAAAUGGGAAAAAGUAUUAGAAAGUAAUGAUGAAGAUGGAGAUGGAAAAUUAUAAUAAGUUAAAGAAGAGAGAUGAAGCAAAGAAUUGUUGGCUUCUAAGGAUGAUGAUAGUGAUGCUAUUAAUGAAAUUGAUGAUUGAGAAUUGAGAUAGGAAAAUUUUGAAUGUUUAGGGAGUUUUUGGAAAUUUGGAACUUAGAUAGCUUUUUUUUUAAUACUUGAUAUUUAUUGUCAUCUUUUAGAUCUUAGAUUUAUAUCAUACUAAAGAAUGGAAUAGAGUUUUCUUUUUCUUUUUUCUUUUUUUCCUCUAGGAACACUACAUAUGUGUGUGUGUAUAGAUAUGUAUAAUAUUAUAAUUUAGGACUGUAUCUUACAUUACAUGAUACUCUUUUUUGACAAAAUGAUACGCAUUACAAUACGCAUUUUGAUAACCAUGUGUCUAUAUGUAGUUCAAGUUGAUUUUAUAAAAAUUUAAUUUACCCUUUAAUUGAGAUAGAAAUUAUUGGAUAUUGUUUUUACUAAAAUUUUGGGCCGUUACAAUUUUCAUCUGACAUCUGCAUGUUGUCUUGAUGUAUGAUAAAUUUAAUUUAAAAUUGCAAAUUCUCAAGUUUCCGGUUUGAGUCCAAGAGUGUUGGAGUAUUGUAUCUUUUAGUGUCCCAAAACACAACAUAUAACCUCUUUAGGAGUAUGUGUUCUACCCAGCUUGCUAGUAAUUCAUGAAUGAGCAGAUAUGGUUGAUUUCUAAAUACUUUUGACAGCUUCUCUUUUUCUAUCAUCCAACUUAGCAUGUAAUUUCCUUUGGAUAGGGUCAUUUUAUCUUUAAAUUUUCAAUUGUCAUGAAACUUCAGCAUCUAUCCAAGCCUGUGGAAACAUGUGAAUUAUUUUUAACAAUAGACUAAAUAUGACAGAGUAAUGUCCAUGAUGGUUGUCCAAAUUUCAAUUGUCAUGAAAUUUCAGCACAUAUCCAAGCCUAUGGAAAUGUAUGAAUAUUUUUACAUUCAACUGUAUGACAAAGUAAUGCCCAUGAUGGAUGAAACGACGAAUAAAAGACAGAUAACUACCUAGAAGUUCUACCCUCUGAUUUCACUUCAAGUAAGUAAAUUCAAUUUGGGAUAACUAAUCAUUCUGUUGCUAGUGCUUGGUAACUUUAAGAUGUGCUUUGUACUGCAUACAUAUGAACAUUGGGUCAAGGAUACAUCAAAGCCAUCAGUUGACCUAGCUUACAAUGUGGUUACAACAUUUGAAACCAUACUCACUAAAAAAUAAAUAAAUGAACAAUACUUUGUAAUUUCUAGUACCCGAUAUUAAUGGACUUCCACAGAUAUUAAUUAAUAGCUUAAUACCCAAAAAAACAUCACAAUGCUCUAUCAGGAAGACUAAUGAGGAUAUGACUUCUUAGGGAUGAAGAAGUAAAAGGCAGCUAAUAACUGAAUCAUUGAGAAUAAAAAGUUGGUAAGGGUGGUACCAAAAAAACAAGCAGCAGAAAGAAAAGAAAAGAAAGGAGAAGAAAUGGGCAGCUGAAGAAAAUGGUAAGGGUGAAAGAAUACCUGGGGUUACAAAAAUUAAAGAACAAAGGGGAAAUAAUUCUUGGGGCAUUAAAAAAAAGGAAGAAAAGUGGGUUGUGAAGAAAACGGUAUACAAUAGUGUAAACAAACUUUUGGGGUUAUAAAAAUUAGAAGAAAAGGAAAGGGAAGAAUAUGAAAUGGAAUUUAUUGGUGAAAAUGGUUCUUGCUGUAAUGAAAAUUGGAGGAAGAAAAAAGGGUUUGAGGGUAGAAGUGGAAUCAAAAUAAUUUAUGAAAUGGGCCAGGACGAAGUUAUUUCUUGUAGAGAGGGCAGUUUUUAGCUUAUGCAGGAAGUUGUUAUGUAUUUAAAUAAACUUUCAUUAUAACAAAGUUGUUCCUUUGAGUUACGAUUUCAACUCUGGCUUCAAAUUCCAGUUGAAGUCAAAUACAAGGUAUCUCAAAUGAGGCCUUAUACUCUUUGAGCGCCUACCUAAUUUAAUACGAUUCUUUUCACCAAUUAAAAUGUUUCCAAAUAGAUAUGAGUUUAUGCAUAAAAAAUGAAAAUUUUAUUUUAGCGUACCCCUUAGUAAAACAAUCAGAUCUCAAAUUUAGUGAUCAAAUGCUAUAAAUUAAGUCAAUUCAGGACAAUAUCACUCUUUUUAGGUGAAUGUGAAUUACAUCUUGAUAGUAUAUGUUCCCAAGGUCCCUUGAUCACCUAAGAUUUUGAUCAUGCUAUAUCUCACUUGCUGAUUAGUCAAAGUGUUCAAAGUCAGAAACUUAAAUCCAUUGUUUCUGAUAUUGAAGGGCAUUUUGCCUUUAGCAUUGAUGAGAUUCUAUAGUGUAGGAUUUUGUUUUUCUUUUUUCUAGAUGGGUUAUCAUUUACCAUCCUAUUGAUUCAAAUACAGUGACAUGCUAAUUCAAGUCAACCUCUCCAAUGAUCUAGAUACAGCAUCUUGUAACAUAGAGGUUGACUCUAUCCGAUAAAGCACCCAUUAUGUAACCAAAUAUGGAUUAGUCGAGCUAUACAGUGUCAGUGAUUUAGAUUCCCUACAUGAGUCAUACUCCGUAGACCUAAUUCACUUUCAAUUUAGCUUGUGACUCCAAAUGAUCCCAUUACUAUAAUGCCCUAAAUGUGAAAUAAAGGAAACUAGAUCAUGAAAAUUUGUCAAAUAAAUUGCUUUUAGUAAAUAUAAUCUCAACAAGAAUAUGAUGUUUAUUCUGUUUUCACUUAUUACAAUAUGUUUAUAUUUUUUCUCAUUAGUAAAUUGAAACAUUACACCAUUGAAUGUUGAAGUUGGCAAUUAAUCAAGGAUUGGGAUAUUAUGCUUUGUAGCUUCCACCCGAGGGUUCCAUAUCUAAAUCUGCUGCAGUAAAGGUGGAGUAUCUUUCAUGUUUAAAGCAUCUCUCUAGCCUGAUAAGUGAUAGCAGUAACAGGAUGCAACAAUCUACCACAACCACUUUGCAAGAACUGAAUGAGGAAAUCAAGCGGGUCAAAAUCGAACUCUCACAAAGUCGGAAGAGUAAAAACCAAUCCAGCAGUUGAUUUUAGAAUGGCCAUCAUUUGAGUCCCAAUAGGGUGGUGUUCUUAGUAUCCCUGAAGUUGCGAGCUCCAGAUGUCAAUGCACUUUCUGUUUUCACAAGUGAGGAUUUAUAUAUGAUCAAAGAUCCUCUGCAUAGUGCUGGUUAUUCUUUUUGUUAAUUUAUUUUCCCUUUGGUCUCAAAACUCUUCUCUGAUAGGUCAAAUACCAAAUUCCCUUUCACUGAGAAUUAGGACUUCGAUUUCAAGGCUUUGCAGGAUUUCUUACAAUGGAAAAGAGCAAUAUAGUGUGUGUGUAUGCAUGUAAGAUGAGAUAUUUUACUGCAAUCAUUUGUUUUAAAUCCAGUAAUAAUGGCAAAUACUAGAUGAACUCAUCCGGAAUUGUUGCUAUACGUUUGUUUCAUUCAAAUAAGGAAAAGUUUUCUUUUCCAUAGACUGUUAACAAUGGGAAAGGGAAAAAAUGUAUAGCUUAUGAUGUGGUUUAAUUUGUUAUCAUUGUUCUGUGACAUUGAAUAUUGUUGUUAUUUUGGUUUUACAUUUUUUAAAAGAAAGGCCAUUGGUUAUGUUUUUGUUUCUGCCAUCUCUGUAAUUUCAUUUGAAGUAUUGACAGGUUAUGUUGUUUUUCUUUUUCUAAGAGAAGAGGGGAAAAUUGCGAGAUCACUACUAUUAUAAGAAAGUUUAAUAUCAUUGAAAACUAGGUAUCAUGUUUAAAUUUUAGUGCUUCAUCUUCUAUAAUUUCAUUUUAGGACAUACAAAUGGAUGAUGUUAAAUACCGACCUUUUCUUUCCCUCCACCUGCAUUUUUCUUUGUGUUUUAGAAUGAGGACCUAGACGGAGGGAAGAUCAAUUUAUUUAACACCACCCUUAAAAAUUAGCUAAUCCUUUAAAAAAUAAAAAAUAAAAAAUCAAGGAUUUUAAAAUAUUGAAAACACUAGGGGCAUUGGAAUUUUUAUGUGUUUUUUUUUUUUUAGUAAGUCUAAAGUGCUAUUAGUGUAAUGAAGAUUUGAGCAAGUCAUCAUUUUUAAAUUAAAAUUAAAACCACUUAAUAUCUAAGUUAAUCAUAUAACUAAAAUCUUUGAUGUUAUUAUUACAAAAUAAGGAGUUCUAUCUUUAGGAUUGGUUGUUUCAACUAUUAACAUGUAUGGUCUAGUCUAAAAAAGAAAAUUCAUAUCUUGUGAUUCCUUAGCCUAACCCAUCUUUAGGAUGGUAAUGGGUCAAAAUCAAGGUGGGCUUGAUCAUAAUAGAGGCUCCAGGCUUGCCAAGGCCCUUUUUCCACUUGAUAUUUUGAAAAGGAGUUUUCUUAAUAAAAUAAAAUAAAAUAAAUAAAUAAAAUAAAAUUUGGUAACCUUCUUGAAAUGGAUUUUCUAUUAUGAGGAUUUCCAAAUUAAUAUUCACUUUUUAAAAUUGAAACCUUGUGGUAUAAGAAAAAUACAUCUUUAUUAAGAUUUAGAAAAUAAAAGAACCUUCCUUAAAUAAAAAAAUUUAUCCUUAAUGAUCUCUCAAAUUUGAAAAUAUUUUGGAAAAGGAUCUUUAAGGAUAUUUUUGAAAAGGAAAGUAAAUUCUCUUAAACUUUUUCAAAAAAUCUUUCUAUAAAAAUUUUGUUGUUAACAAUCAUAUUCCAAUCUUAAAUGAAUAAUUAUUAUUUGGAAAUAUGUUCUCAUGAAAAUUUACUUUUCAUAAAAAAAUACCAAAUUUACUCUUUUAGUUAUUUUAACCAUAUUUUUAAAAAAUUUCAUGUCAUAUCCCAAAUAUGCAUAUGUAAGGAAAAAUAUAAAACAUGGAAAUAUAAAAUAUGCUCUCAUGACCUUAGGGAUAUUGUUGCAAAUUUGGUAGAUCCAAAUUUCUAAAUUUUUCAAAAUUUCCAACUUACCAAAAUGUCCCUACAACACAAAUUAGGAUGGAGACUAAAAAGACCCUAAAAACACUCUAAACAAGCUUGCAUUGUUCCUUUGCCCCUUGCAGCACUAGGAGCACUUAAGUGUUGUAAGAACGCUUGAGCAUUCAAUAGAGCGCUUGAGCAUUGAUGACCACUUGAGCAUUAAUCUAGGCACUUGAGUCCUACUACCAUAACCUCAAAUCUGAGGAAAUUUCUUCUCCUUCUCCAACCUUUUUCCAUUAGAAAACUCACUUUUUUAGCCAAGCUUCUCCAUCAUGGAUGUCACUGAAUGCCUGGAUUGCUUCCUUGCUUCUCUUAGGUUAAAAAAUGGAUAAAAAACUGAAUUUUUACAAUAUUGAAAAUUCCAUAUGCUCCUCCAAAAUGAAGCUUAUAACCUCAUCUAAGAAUUAAAAAUGGAUUUUAACAAACACCCAAAAAAAAAAAUAUCUUAUAGUCCUUACAAAGUGUAUAACCCUUCUAAGAAAACAAGAAAGUCAAACAAACUCAUUCAAUCUCAUGAUAUUAAAUUCAUACAUUCAUCCAUGGCCCAUGGGAUGGAAAUGAAACACCUUGCAAAACUAACUUAGCACACCCUAGAAUAGUUACAUCUUGAGGUUCAAAGUGCUUUAUCUUAGAUUUAGAUGUUCCCAAAUCGUUUCCUACUAAUCAACAAUGAACAUAGAUAUAGUAGAAUGAGAGAUCUUCUGCACAAUCACUUUCGUUCCUUAGCUCUUGGUACUUAAAGUGGUGGAAGCCUCACAGAGGGAUGGUGGCUUAGGCUCUCUUCUCUCUUAGAGUGAAUAGAUGUAUGUCAAGAGUGAAGCCCUAAACCCCUAAGGUGGUUUAUAUAGUCUUCUAGUAGGCUUAAGUGACUUGAGCCCUCAUAGGCUUGGGUCACUUAAUCUAACUCACUUGGGUCUUAAUUGAUUAAUUAGCCUUAUUAGGGUUCAAUUAAUUAAUUAUCCUAGUUUAGAGAGACCAUUCACAAGCUCUUAUAUAAUCUUGUAUAUUUAUCAAAACACUUUUAGGUACACAUGUGAAUAAAGAACUUAAAUAUCCCUCAAUAAGUGUGUGAUCAAGGAAUACGAGCUUAAGCAAAGACCACUAAGACCCGUAAGAAAAUACCGGCUCCUUCAAAAUCUAAUUCCGAAGUUGACUAAACAUCCCAUUAUAGAGAGUCAAUUACACUCCAAUAUCUUAUAAUAUUAUAACAAGAUACUAAUCUCGAGUCUAUAACUUAUUAUCCAUUAUGUCCAUGCUCCCCAUGAAGUAGUGUCCAUAAUCUAAUGAAGUGGAUGUUAUCAAGCUCUCAAGAUUACCUUUACAAUGCCUGAGUCUCAUAUCCUCCUAUUAUGUGAUCACUAAUAUACUUUAGCUCUCUAAGAGCAUAUGUCUAAUUCCAAUUUAGAAAUUACUAUGAGCAUAUGUCUAAUUCCAGUUAAAGAAUUAAUACAUCUAUAAAUUUAUCAAUCACAUAUCCUUACAAUCACCUAAAAGGACACACUAUCUCAAAUCAAUGAGAUAUCAUGGUGCCCAUCUUGAGUAUAUUUGUUACCAUCAACCUCCAUCAACUAUGACCUAAUAAUCUAUAAGGAUACAUGACUACCUUAAGUCCUCACUCGUAGGUCAAAGUCAGUUAUGACUUUACCACGAGCUCAAUAUCCUCUUAAGGUUGAAAACCUAUAUAAUAUAGUAACUUAGUAAGAUCAUGGCUACCCGAUAGCCAAUGUAUAUUAAGUCCAAUGUGUAACCAUACACACUAGUGCACUCAUCAUGGGAAACUCAUCUUGAUGAUCAAGAUAAAUUAUCCCUCAAAUUAGGAGGUAGUGCACUACACCCUCAAAUUGAUUGUCUAAGUCUAUGAACCAGUUAUGGACAACUCAUCUACUUGCAAAGCUCUGAUACCAAUUGAAAAAUGGUAAAGUACUUGAUACCACUUGAAAGACUACCAAAAUUCAAUAAAGAACGCCCAGAAGAGUGGUAUGGUGAAUGGGCGAUUCAAAAAUUUAAAUAAAGGUUUAUAUGUUAUACUCAAUUUUUCAUAUCCCAAGAUAUUACAAGGAUAUUCAAGAUAUCCAAAAAAAAGUUCACCCUAAAUCUUAAUUGAUAAAAACUUGAUUUUUAUGUUUAAUAGAUACCAUGUGAUUUUUUAGGGAAAAAGUAAUAUAAUUAUACUAUUUGAAAUAUAUAUUAAGAUUUUCUAGGGAUAAUAAUAAUCACUAGAAUAACUAUCAUAACAAACUCAAUAAAAAUCUCAACAAAUCAAACAAAAUAUAUUCAAAGAGGAGUUAAGAAAACAAUACUUGGUUAUAGGUAUAACCAACCUAACAACCUCAAUAAUCAACUAACCAAUCAAUCAUAAGCUUGUCAAUAUCAUCAAUCAAAAUAUACGUAGUAAUAAAAAAAUAUGCAAUGAGGUAUAAGAUUUUUACAUGAAAAACCCCACAAACUGUGGAGAUAAAAACCACGAGGUCUAAGACCUACCAAUCUAAAUUCCCUAUUUGAAAUCAAGUUACAUAAAUUUACAUGGCCAUUUUGCCCUAAAGACCUACUCUCCAACACCUACAACUUGAUCCACAUCCGCGACGUAGCAACUCCUUGUUGCUCCCCAGUAAAUCCUUCGGCCACUAUGAAGGGAUUAAGGUCUUCAACCCACAAUUCAAAGAUUCAAAUCCUUGAAUGAGAGAUCGGGAAUGAUGUAGCAUGCUAGGCUUUCUCAAAGAGAUCCUUUCUAAGGAAUGAAAAGUCUCUUAAUGAUAUAUCUUUAAUUUUCAAAAUCUCUUAGCCCAAAUCUCUAACCCUCAAGGGGUUAUAAGGAAAGUGCUUAUAGGCAAAAGUCUAAAGAGUUUCGAAAUCUUAAGUUUCCAAAUUAGAGUUUGAGUGAAAUUCAUCCAAAAUUUGUUUCUAAACUCGGCAGGACUGUCAUGAUCGCUUGAGCUUAAGCGGGAUUAACCAUUUGAGCAGCUCUUGCUUCUUUUGAAAAAUCAUUUGUAAAACAUUUUAAGUCCAAAAAUGAUACCAAACCCGUUUAUUCCUCAAAGAAACCUAAUAUGUCAUAAGUCAAAGUUUUUAAACAUAGCCAUGACUUCUUGGUUAGACAAACAACAACUCUUGAUCUUCAAUGGAGAGCAAGUCACUAACUAUAAAGACUUCUAUGACCAAACAUAAAUUGGAACAAAAUUGUCAACAUAUAGAUAAGACUCCAUGUCUUAACAAAAUGGAGUAUGCCUUAGUAUGCAAGAAUGAUCAAUAAAAUCCUCUAACCGGUAAUCUGUAAGGGGGGACAACUAAAGUUAACAAAUCAUCCACCAAGGUAAAAUUAUAAAGGGGUAUGGCUUAGUAUCGGAUAAUGAUCAAUCAUCAACGAGGUUAAACUCUACAUGUCUCUAAAGUGUCUUGAAAGAAAAAAAGUCAAUCAUCAACAAUGCUAAAAAUCAAUCAUUAAUGAUGCUAAACUCUACAAGUCCCAAAAGUGUCCUAAAAACGAAUCCAAAAUAUAACCCAGUACCAAAAAAUCACUGUAUCACCUAGAACUCUAUUGUAACAAUAAGAUUUGUAUCAAAACUCUGUCCAAUACUCGAACUACAACUACCAACAUGACAUAUGAGAUGAUCAAUUGAGAAAUAAGAUUUUGUUCAAAUACUUUAAAUAAGAUGACAUCAAACUAAAAACACGAAUGAAAUACCAAGAUACUACUUAAGAAGGUUUGUUGAUGAGAAGAAACUAAACUAGUCCACUCAAGUAAAGACAUAAAUGUCCCCAGUUAUCUGACUAACUCAAAAUACUCCUCAGGAACUAUGGUAAUAAAAAAUGUGUCUAACUUGACAAUAAACCACUAAGAAAUCAUAAUGAAAAUCUAUUAUAAGUCUCAAAAAAGAUACUCUAAAACAAAUCUCAAAAACACAACCAAAAUGACCAAAAGUCUAAUAAUCUUAAGAAUAGAAGCAUGCCUUUGAUGAAGCCCAAACUAAAUAUGUUGUAAAGUUGAUAAACUCGAAAUGGGGAAAUAUGCCCCAGUAUAUAGGAUCUGCACACUACACUAAAAUUUGUCUCUAACUCAAUAAUAAUCCACCAGUCUAUCUUAAAAGUACUCAUGAAGAACCUAAAAUGAUGAAAACUAUUAAUAAUCCAAACAAUUACUCCAUUGAGGACUAUCUCCAUCUUAAUAACAACCCACUGGGCUAACGUGUAACUGAUCCAUCUCAAAAGUACUUUAAUGGAGGAAUUGUCACUAUCUCAAAAUGGCUUAUUGAGAACUGUAUUUGCAUCUCAAAAAAUACUUCUCUAGGGAACAUGAUACAAAACAACCAAUUUGAUCUAUCUCAAAGGCACUCCAUUGGGAACUCAUAAUGACUACAAAGCAUACCCACUGAAAACUAUCCAUGUCUCAAAGUACUCUACUAAGAAAUUAGAAUGCAAGACAAUCAAACUAAUCUAUCUCAAAAGCACUCUACUAGAAAAUUCAUGAUGACAACAAAGCAUAUCUACUCAAAACUAAUCAUGUAUCGAAGAAACAUCCCACUAGAAUUGAUGUCAUCUCAAAAUGCUCUAUUGAGUUGAUCAAUAAAGAUACUCAAGCUUGAAGAAAGUGCUCCAUUAGGGACUUAUCUCAAAUAAGUAAAUAAAUAAAGGAAUGUGCCCUAAUAUGGCAAUUGAUGCAUAGUCACAAGUGUACCUAAAUGACUCUAACUCAUCAUCUUCGUGGCCAAGGAUGAGACAAUCAACAACUCAAAAGGUGCAUGUGCAAUGAUGUGUCAUGAUAGCUCAAAGCAAACACCAUUGAGAAUCAGAAAUAAUCAUGUUGAUUUACUCCACUAAGACUAUGGAUGAAAGCAUGUCUCACUAAGGUAAUUCCAUCAAAAAUGGUGAUGAUAUAAAAAAAAUACAAGUGUGACUCAAUGGCUUGAAAGACUCUACUAAGGAAACAGAGCAAAAGUCAAAUUGUCAAAUCAUCAUCUAUCAUCAUAAGCCAAGAUGAUCAUGUUCAACCAAUGACAAGCUGACAAUCUCAACAAAGGAGGAAUAUGCCCUAGUAUGACAACUAAUGCAAAGUAGAAUGGGAAAUCAGACAACCUUAAUCAUCCACUAUAAAACCAAAAGAAUCAUUCACAUUCAUCACUAAAUCACCUUCAAGCAUCAUAGAAGCAUCUCCCAAAAAAUGAAAUAGGAUGACAUCUACAUAUCAACCAAAUCCUAAACACUUACUCAAGUAUAGGAAUCAAAUCUAAAGUGUGUACUGAUGUGAGAAAUGAAUAAAAGAUGGAACAAAAAUCUAUAAAGAGGUGAUAGGAAAACAUAGAAACGCGGAGAGAAAAUAGAAAGAAUGAUGAUCAACCCAUAUCAAUACAACAAAGGAAAGUCAUAUCACUAAUGAUGGGAUGGUGGAUAAGACAAUAAUCCAGAGACCCUAGUAAAAGGUUAUUCAUCUCUAGUGCUCUAUAUCACAUAAAAAGUUUUUAUCAAGCUCAAACAUGCACCAAUUAUCCAAAAUUUCAAAGAACAUAUCACAACUUCAAAUUCAAGUCAAGACAACAAGCAAGGAAAGACAAUAUUAAUUAUCAAGCUUGAAAAAUUAUUUUUAAAUGAAACCAAAGCCCAUAACCUUAUUUAAGAAGUUUAUAAUAUGAGAAAAAUAUCAAAAGUAAUUAAAACCUCAUGAGCUAGAAUUGAUUUAUAAAAACAUUUCAAGUGUCAAAAAUAAGGCAAAAUCUAGACACUUAGAAAAACCAAUUUAUUUAAUAAGUUUGAAAAAGGUUUUUCAAUGAAACAAAAAUUCUUUGAUACAUUUUGGAAGUCUACAACAUCACCAAAGCCUAAAAAAUAUUUAGGACAAGCCAAAAAGUCCAAACUUAGAAAAACGUGUUGGGGGUCAUGACUUUCUUUAACCCCAAGUGAGCAAGUAAGCAAGUUUUGAAAAUCAAAGAAUAUGGGUCUUACCAAUGCUCAAAUUAAUUUCCACAAAUUAAUCUACUUCCUCAACCCUCAAAUGAUUGUGGAAAAAGGCUCAUGAUGUCUAAAGAUAAUCAAAUUAAAUUGAAAUUUGUGAGAUUUACCAAUCUUCAAAAAUUAAGAAAAUCUCAAAAUUAUAAGUUUGAAAAAUGAGUGAUAUAUGCCAAAGGAAAGAGUCAUGGACGAAUCCAAAAAUCAUUCAAUCCUUCUCAACCCUCGAAUGAGUAUGAAAUUGAACUCAAAAGAGGCAUGGAAGAACAAAUUAACACUCACACAUGGAAAGAGAGUUGAAAUGUACAAAGAAAUAGAUAUGGAUGUUCUAAUGUGAAACCAUGUAUUAUGUACCAAUGAACAUGACAACCAUUAAUUACUGCAAAAUGACCAUAAUAUUUAACCCCAAUUAACCAUGAAAAGAGAUUCAAAGGGACUGAAAAUGGUCCAUUAAAAAAUAGCUUGAAGAAACUUUUCAAAAAUCUCAAAAAUCAUAAGAGCAACUAUCAAUUUUAUCAAGCUUAAUAGUGAGCUAAAAGCCUAUGGAAAUAUUCAAACACUUGUGGCUCUAAAAAUUUAUUCCAAAAUCAAUCAAAAAGGCUUUCAAAAAGGAAAAUUUGAAAUCCCCAAAAGGGAAAAUUAAAAGAAAACAAUGAUUUCAAAACCCAACAAAGUCUCAUCUCAUCAGUGAUCAAUAGGCUUGAAAAUGGGAAAAAAUACCCAAAAAAUAUUAAAAUCAAAUCAAAGAAAACUUCAAAACCACUGUACAGUAAGGUAAGUCAAAGAUUAAGCAAUCUCUCAAGCAAUUAAGGAGAAUAAAGAGUAGAAAAAAAGAACAACCAUAGAUCAUGAAUUAUACAAUCAGCAAUCAAAUGGUUGGCCUCUAAUAUCCAUACCCAACAUAUAAAUCAACCUAAGAAUCAAUAGAAAGUGAAAAAUGACCAUGAAUGAGAAAGGGAAAAUGAAAUCAAAAUGUACUUACCAAUGAUCCUCCACACAAGUGAGCACUUGUCUUCUAACUAUCCAAAUCUCCCUUCCAUUUAAGCCUUCAAGCAAGCACGAACUCUCUCUCUUUCUUUCUUUCUCUCUCUCUCUCUCUCUCUCUCUCUAAAAAUUAGUAGAGUUUCUUAUUCCAAAACACUCAUAAAAUCCCCUCAAAACCAAGCUCCUAAGGCUCCUUUUUAUAAGACAAGAGAUGAUGAAGAUUCGGACACUUGUCAUUUAUCUCCUCCAAAGCUCAAAACAUCUAGAAUCUUCUUAAACUAAAACCUAAACCCAGAGACACAUUAACACAUGGUUAACGCUAUUAAAAACUAUAAAAAAAAUCCUAAAACACCCUUACGAACUCCUAAAACCCAAUUAAAAAAAUAGGGCUCAAAAAGGAGCUAAAACAGAUCCAAAAGAAGCAAAACCCAAUAAACCAGUCAACUAUUUGCCUCAACCGAUCAAGGGUUGUAUCAACCAGUCGAGAAACUGAUCAAACCUCCAAUACAAGCCAAAACAAGAUAAAAAAAAAAGUUUCAAGCCAUCGAAAAGUGCUCAAGCAAGCUCCAAUCACAUCAAUACUUUGAGGGGACCUAAUGUACCUCUAAGGUUACGCUAUGGAUCCAAAAACUCCCUUCAAAAGGUCUACAAAACUAGCCAAAGAGUUAGUGUCAAACUGAGUAAUAGGUGAACCACCAAGGAGUGCAAUGAACCACUAAACAAUAGGGGAUUAUAUGGGCGUACUACAUGAAAAUGUAAGGUGAAGGAUAACAAGUAUGAUGAAUAACAUGUGUUAUGAGGACAAAAUGAAGGAUCUACACAGCUAUUGCAACAAAGCUCGAUGAGAACGUUGGAAUGCUAUGAAAAUAAGCCCUAAUGACUAUGAAGAAGUCUCCAUGAUCACCCCCACACUCUCAAUAGGGGUAGUUGCUAUAUUUGCAUUCGUAGAGGGUGAAAAUGGAACUCUUAAAGCAGGGAUAACGUCUCUCUGCAACUCUACUAUCUCUAGAAUCAUAGAUGUAAUCAGAUCCAUUGAGGGAAUGUCCUCUAUGUAAUCUUAAUUAUCAACAUUGAGAUAAGGAAGGUUUAAUACUAGAAAUAGUGGAUUGGAGCUACUAUACAAUUAUAGUAAAGUCAUCAAAAUGCAUGGCAUGAGCUAACAAUGUGUGUUGUCUUCGCAUGAGUUGAUUCAUCAUAUCCGGGAUAAUAUCCAACUAAGUUAUGCAUGGUAAGUAAGAAAUUGAUUGGUUGGUGGAUUCUCAGUAACUGGUGCAAACAAGGAUUGGAUCAAUUCCUACUUCUAUAGAAGUAUAAGUAGGUUCACAUGACAUUUUUGAAAAAGGAGUUUGUCCAUAGUGGACAAGAUGCAACUAUGCUCUAAGAUAAUGAACUAGAAACACCAACUUUAGUUAUCUACUAGAUAGAUCAAUAGAAAGAAUGAAGCUUGUUGACUCCUCUGUGUGAAUGGUCACUAACACUCUGGAAGAUUCCUUAUCAUCUAAUAUUCUCUUAUUUCUCUCAUGUAAUCAAACCCAAAUACAGCUUGGAAAAUCUUUUGUUAUUUCGAUUCUACUGACAUUUAUCUUUUCCUAGUCAUAUGUGUUGGUACAUUAGUUUAUGUAAUUUAAGUUUUCAAUUGUGUUUCAUUCAUUUUGGCAUAGGACUUUUCCAAAUUAUAUAUCUUACUCUUCACUAAAGACUCAAGGUUGUUAUGUGAUCAACUGGAAUUACAUAGGUAAGUAUAGAAAAGUCUAAGAAAGGCUAAUAAGAUUUAUAUAAGGCUUGUAGUGGACACAAUUUUUUAAAAAUUGAGCAAAAAUGUUUUUAUAAAAACUUGUAAGGGUUAUCAAGUGUUCUUGAUAGAAUUCCAAUUUUGAACAAUUGGAUUAAUUCUACAAUUGUAAUUGCAUUUAUUUUACAAUUGCAAUUGGAUUUAUAUUGGAAAUCCUAAUUUAAGUCCACUAGGUAUUUAUAUCAUAUAAAUACCCUACCUUAAUAGGGGGUUUUGUCAAAUGCAAAUAUUUUGAAAAACCUAGUUUCCUUCCUAUUCUCAAAGCUUGCAAAGAAGAUUUUCAUACACUUCUGCCAGGUUAUGAAAGAUAUUUAUAUCUCCUCAAGCGUUGAAGUGAGACCAACUAGGAUUCCAUAACGUGCUACGUUGCGGAUGUGGAAUAUAAUGUAGUUACUGGAGAGUAAGUCUAAGGGUCGUGUCUGUUAGGUAAACUUGUAUAUUGCAUUCUCAUAGAGUGAAUUUAGAUUUGAGGCCUCUGACCUUGUGGUUUUUUAUUUGUUUAUGUUGUGUGGAGGUUUUCUAUGUUACAAAACUUUUAUCUUGUGUGUUGGUUACUUUUUAAUCUUCCUAGUAUUUUCUAAGACUUUGAAGGGAUUAAAAAGAAUUAACUUAUCAACAAUUAAGAGUUAAAACACCUAUUCAUUUCCCGCUAGGUGUUGUCCAUGUCAAAUAAAAUGGCUUUUAAUGGCUAGCGGUCAAAUAUUAGUUGAUGCCUUGAUUUUCCUUAUCUCCACUUUUUGGUGGAAAUAGAACAAGAUCAUCAUCACUCCUCUGGAGAUCGCCACUCCCCUUUUAUGUAUGAAACAAUAAAGCCUGUUCAAUAACUCAACAUAGAUUCUACACUUCUUUGCCAGUAUAGAUUGCCACCUAGGAGUCAACUGCCUCAAUAGCGAAGCACCCAAUUCACAUGCACCUAUCAAUGGAGUGGAAAUACCAUGUUGGUGGCUUUGUGCCUCUUUAGAUGGACGUUUCAACCCCUGCUAUUGGGCGGAACAUAUAUAUAUAUAUGACAUGGUCCAUUACAUUAAGCGGCUAUCAUAUGGGAAAAAUUUGACAGAAUUAAAAUGUGAACAGAAUUUUAGGUAUUGAGCGAUGAUCCUGAUCAUAAGACCACAUGCAUCCAUCUUGCUCAGAACCAUCUUUGGUUCCCUUGGUCCAAGAGCUACAAAUUCUUUAGGAACAUGGCAAUUGUAUUUGAAAAUAGAGUUAUUGAAAAACCUGAUCAGAAGGGUGAAGCAGCAUGGCAAGUGAUUAAAUAAGAUGGUUUAGAAAUUCUAUACCAAUUGUAUUUGUUAGAGUCUCUGCAAGGAAAGUGCAAAAAAUUUCAUGGUCUAUAGAUGAAUGACAGGCAUUAGCACCAUAACACUUCAAAAGUUUAGGAUACAUAAGAAGGCACUCAAAAUCCUUUAUACUCAUCAAUCAAUACCAGAAUAUUAUAAGUGCCAUUGGAAAAACAGCUUCCGUAUUGAGGAAUUUGAAAGCAUACCUGUCUAGUAAAACCCCUUGAGGACCACCAUGUUCAGAAAAAAUUCCAUUUGUACCAAUCAGCUAUUCAAGAAUCCUCCAUUCAGUUUAAUCUCUCACUCUAAAUAUUUAAGCUAUUUCUUAUUGCUCGAAUAAGAUAGGAUAUAUAUAUAUAUAUAUAUAAAAUGAAAUAACUUGUCUCAUCUCAUUACAAACCAAAUAUAGAAAAGUUAUUCUCUCUUUUAUUCUACCUCAUGCUGGACUAUGUCCAACCAACCAACCAACCAAAUAUGAGAUUAGGCUUGUAUCUUUUUUACAAUAAACCCCCUUAUUAUUUACUCCAUGACACAAGUUAAUAUAAAGAUUGCCUAGGUCAAACUUUUAAAGCUUUUACAGAAUACAAAACCAAGUAAAUAAAUCCCUUCACAUUCACUUCAACAACUAUAACAAUACGAUUUGAAGAUGGAGCUUGUACUACAAGAUGACUUGUCUACUGGCCAAACCCAUGCUUAAUGUUCCAUCUGUAAGAAGUACUGACAAACAUUUUGGAGAACGCUAACCUCAAACUAAAGUAACUAAUCUAUUCUGUAACCCUUUUCGGAGUAUUGGUUGAUAUAAUUAUGCCACCAUUAUAACCAUCCAUCAGCAGCUUCCCUAUUUUAGACCUCCACUCUGAGACUUCCCUCUCAUUCUGCUUGUCAUGAACAACUCUGUCGCAAUAGUUGAGCAUUGUUGCUAAGCCACUAUUUGGUAUCCACCCGUACUCUGUUAACACGCGCGCUUCACCUUCAGUCAAAUCUUCUCCAACCUAACCAGAGGGAUAAACAGGCAUAUUAUAGAAAACUAAAAGUAGUUGCUUUAUAAAAGCAACCAGAAAUAAUAUACAAGAAAAGAAACAAUAAACAAAUAAUUUAAGUAUCAGACUUAAAAGGUGUUAGGUAAAUCAAUUUACUCACUUUAAAGGCACUUAAUAACUUAAGUUAUUAAGUAGAUUAAAUAUAUUUGAUAAAAUAAGUUAAUAUCACAACUUAAAAUUAAAAAUAACUUUAAUUAUUAAAUCAAAAUAAUUAAUUUAUUCUUAAUUCCAAAUAUUUUUGUCUUAUUUACCCAUAUAUAAUGAAAAUAUAUUUAACAACCAUAACUCCAUAUCCAUAACUUAUUUUUAUAGUAAAUAUUUUAAAGUUAUCUAAUAUAUCUAUAAUACUUUAAGUAUGAAUAUUUAAUAAAAAAUUAUUAUUUAAGAUUAAUGAAAAUAAAUACUAAUUAAAAUUAAUGAUAAUAAACAUUAAUUACAAUUAAUAAGGGUAAAUAUGUCAAUUUGAUGACUUUGAAUAAAUUUUAAUUUAACUUUACCAAACAACCUUAAUACAUAAAGUAAUAAAUAAAUAAUAAGUUUUAAGUUAACAACUUAAAAACAAUUUAACUUAAAGUCAUUAAGUAAUAAGUAUUGAGUUUUACCAAACACCCACUUAGAGGUCAUUUGGUAAAUCAACUUAAUAACUUAAAGUGAUUUAAUAACUUAAUUUAAGUUGUUAAGUAGAUUAAGUAAAUUUGGUAAAAUAACUUAAUAUCACAACUUAAAGUUAAAAAUGAUUUUACAUUUUAAGUCAUAAUAAUCAACUUAUUCUUAACCUCAAAUCUUUUUGCCUUAUUUGUCCACAUCUAAUGAGAAUAUAUUUAACACCCAUGACUCCACAUACAUGAUUUAUUUUUUAUAAGGUUAUCUUAUAUAUCUACAAUACUUUAAGUAUGGAUGUUUAUUAAAUAAAUGUAUUGCUUAAGAUUAAUUAAAAUUAAUAAUAAUAAACAUUAAUUACAACUAAUGAGGGUAAAUAUGUUAAUUUGAUAACUUAAAAUCAAUUUUUAAGUUAAUUUUACCAAAGAACCUUGAUACUUAAAGUAAAAAAUGAAUAGUAAGUUAUAAGUUAACAACUUAAGAACAAAUUAACUUAAACUCAAUUUGAGUUAUUAAGUAAUAAGUAUUAAAUUUUACCAAACACCUACUUAGGUACUCAAUCUUCAAUUCAUCUAAUUCUUCCUGUUUCCUUAAGCUAAUACCACUAGAUUCAUGUGCAUAACAUAUAAAUAAAAACAGCAGACAAGUUUCAAUGAGGUAAAUAAACCAAUUGGUAAUACAAAACUGGAAAUCAUGACCCAAAUGCCAGUAAAAUGAAUGUUUCAAGAAAGUGGAAAAGGGAAGAUUCACUAAGUCAAUGGUGAAGAGGGGCUAUUGGUAAAGCCAAGGUUAUCACACAGUAUUCUUCAAACACUCCUCUCUCAAUAACUUAACUGUUUUGAUUGUCUAUGUAGAUGAUAUCAUUUUGUUAUCCAUAAUAACUUAGAAUAGACUAAAGAAUUGUAGUCAUACCUAGCAAAAGAAUUAGAGAUCAAAGACUUGGGUAAUCUAAGAUACUUUUUGGGGAUAAAGUUACAAGGUCAAAAAAAGAAUUUUUAUUUCCCAACAAAUGUUUACACAAGAUCUACUCAAAGAAACAAGCAUGCUAGGGUGUAAACUUGUUGAUGCCGCUAUUAAGUCAAACCAUAGGCUAAGGGAAAAGAAUGAAGAAUCUAUGGUUAACAAAGGCAUCUACCAAAGAAUGGAGGGAAAACUGAUUAUUUAUCACGUUAGAACUUACAUAGCAUAUGUUGGAAUUGUGAUGAGUUAGUUUUAUGCAUUGUCUAUAUAAGUCUCAUAUGGAAUCUAUGUAUAAAAUUAUCAAGUAUCUAAAGACAACCCUGGGCAAGGGAAUAAUGUUUUAAAAGAAUGAUGAUUUCAACUUGAAAACCUAUACCAAUGAGGAUUGGGCAGGUUCAAUACAACACAUCUAAGAGGAAAUUUAGUUACUUGGAGAAGCAAAAAUAACCUGUUGUGAACAGAUCUGGUGCAAAAGCCAGGUUUAGAGCUAUGCCUCGGGGUAUUUAUGAGAACUACUAUGGCUGAAAAUUAUAUUUAUAUAUCUUAAGAUUAAGAUAAAAGAGCCAAUAAUGUUGAAUGACAACAAGGCAACUAUAAAUAUAGUUUAUAACUCAGUCCAUCAUGAUCACACCAAACAUGUAGAAGUAUAUCAAUACGUCAUGAAAGAGAAAAUGGAUUCCAGACAGAAUUGAAUACCAUAUGUCUCCUUGGUUAGGCAGUUGGCAAACAUCCUCAUCAAAGGCUUACCAAAUCUUGUUUUUCAUCAAAUCUUAGACAAGCUACGAAUGCAAGACAUCUUUGCACCUACUUAAGGACAGUGUUGGAAGAUUUGACAAAUUAUAUCCAAAUCUAAUUGACUAUAAUUGGUUUGUAAAUAUUGUUAUUGAUUUUGUAUGGUUGUAUAUUUCACUUCUUUCAUUAUUUCUUUCCUAGAAAUCCUUAGACGUAUGCCUAGUAAUUAGGUUCCUUAAUUUAGUCCUAAAUUAGUUGUAGUCCAAUCAACCCUUGUAUGUAUAUAAUUUGCACUAGCCCUUUUGGGAAUUAAGACAUUGAGAAAUUAUUCAUUUCUCCACUUUAUGUGUCCUAACCUUUUGUGCCAAACCAAAGAUAUAUGGUGCCUAAUCUACCCUCACUACAGACUAGGUGGAUGAGAAUUGCAUAGCAAUUGCUAGUGCUAUCUGCAUAAGUAUGUAAUGCAUAUUUAGCUAAUGUAAGGAGAUUUGCUUUCUAUAGAAAACAAUGCAUGCAGCAGAUAGAGAAUUGCCUUGAUGAUAAGGUUAUUGUAUCUUUCAAUGGUAGGCAUCAACAAGAUUUUGUUAAAUGGAAGGAUCAUAUAGUAUUUUAUGUAACAUGGAUUAUAGAUAAUGAGUCUCAAUGGCUUGAUCCAAACAUUCGUCACAAUGAAUGCAUAAACAUAUGCAUAAACACAACCCACUACCCAUUUGAAGUUUGUUAAAUGCAUAAACAUUUGGGACAAAGAUUCCUAUUCACUUCAAAUCAAGAUUCCUCUAUUCUUAUCCAAAUUAGGAGUUUUAUUCCUAUCACUUUAGUUUUCCUGUUUCUACUAGUAUUCUAUCCAUUAGUAUUUUUUUUUUUUCUUUAGGCUCCUUGAUAGUUUUUGCAGGUAUUAUUCCUUACUCUCCUACUUGUAUUUUCUCAUCUCAACUUUAUCCUUUGCUGUCUUAUCUGACUCCCUUUUGCCCAUUUUUUUCCUCCCAUCCUGCUUCAAAGGGUUAAUCCACUUUCAGAUUUAAAUCCCCAACUAGAAGCCCCAAAAGCAACAAAAAAUAUCUAGGGCUCUCACAUCAUCGAGAUUUCUGUAAUAAACAGCCAUAUGGUGCACAAGCAUAUAUAAAAAGUUUAAGCAGCUGUUUAAUCCCAAAUAAUGGAAUAAGCAAGAAUCAAUCAGAAAAUAUUUAGACCCACUUUCUGAUCAAUAAAAGCAUCAACUUAUGAUCAACUCAGCAGAAAACAUCAAUUCAUAAGUAGCGAGGGAAAAAUGCCUCAGGAUUCAAGAUCAUACCUUGCCUUAUGUAACAUGUUAGGCUGUGAAUACUUAAAAUACAGUAGCAUAAUAGGUUAAUCAAAAUGUUGACUACAGAAAGCAGUAAAAAGAUCUGAAUUCACCAUGUAAUACAAUAGUUCAAACCACAAUAACAGAAAUCAUGGAUAGAGAAGUCUAUUCAAAUUAUUACCAGUAAUGCUUUAUUCUCAAUUAGAGUAAUUCUGCUACAGCUAGUAAGCUUCAUGGCAACCACCAAACGCUUGAUCUGCCAGUUAAUGGGUAAUGAAUCCACUAGCUCAAAGAAAUAUGUCGCAUAGCCAUAUUCAGGACGUUCCAGCACUAUUCUGUGGUCAAAGGGAUCAGUAGUAUUUCCACCAUCCAGUAAAACACAAAAGGAAUAAAAAUUUUGGGGGAAAAAAAGAAAAGAAAGAAAGAAUAAAAAACACCCUGAAACAUAGUUGUGUUGGUAAAAUGCACCUGUUAUGUCUUUCAAAAACAAAUAUAAAUGCUUGGAGAUCCCGGCACCAACCCCAUUCAACAGGCCAUUUUCGAAAGCGAAGAUACCGUGUCUACAAUAAAAGAGGGUAAUUAAUGAAUCUUAACAAGAAUGAGAUGAAAAUUUAAUCAUCAAAUGUGAAUGGAGAAAAAGUCCUUGAGAAUAUGCCAUAGCUAACAAUCUUAGAGAACUAUGUUGCAAGAAACUUCUUACCUGCUCCACCAGUGACAGUAAACAAGGCAAGCAAUAACUAACUUUUGAACCCUUUUUGCAGCGUAUAGGAGCAAACUUCAACACAGAUUGGCGUUGAGAGAAAAGCUGCCCCCACAAAACCAUGAUGAUGAUCAUAAUAAUCAUAAUAAUAAUAAUACACUAAAAUUAGAAACCUAACUGAUGCCCAAUUCAGAAUGCAGUGCAUGGCUCAAAAAAGUUGUAGAACCAGAAUAACAGAAAAUUAUAAAUGCACACAUCUACAAACAUUUUAUUAAGAUUCACUCUAGUUGAUUGUGAAGUGUCAUCUCCAGGGAAAAAAGAAAAGAAGAAAAGAAGAAAGAAAAAUGUAGCUUAUAUUAAAUGUUGAAAAAGUCAAGGACCAAAAUUGCAUGAAUCAAUCUUCUAAUUACUGAAUAUUAUUUUCUAGAUACUUUCCUCUCCUUUUUUCUUUCUCUAGAAUUAUGUACAUAAUUAAGCUGUCGACUUUCCCUUUCUUAGGCAGAAUCCAAUUGUGCAGCUGCACUUUAAUUUCUUUCUUAGUUCAGAUUAGACUUUGUAACUACAUAUAUGUGUAAUAAUCACCAUUCAAGAAGUCAAUGGAAAUAAUUCAGAAUUUCCUCAUGGUAUCAAAGCUAUUCUAGCAUUCUGUGUCUUCUUUUCAACUUUCUUACCAGAUUAUUAUACAAAAUGGAGAAUUUAAGCAUAUUUAGGGAUAAGUAAGAAAGGAUAAAGAUAAAAUAAAUACGACAGAAAGUUUUUAUCGAAGGUAUCUUUACUUUUAAUCCAUUUCUAAUUGGUUUUUAUUUAUAUUUUUUCCUUUUAUUAUGUCGUAUCUUUGUAUUUCCAUUUAAACUUUAGAUCCUUUUCAUUCAAUUCCAUGUAUCCUAAAUUUUGUAGUUAAAAGAACCUACUUCCUAAAUAUGCAACCACACCUAUGUCCAAGAAACGAGCAAGUGGUAAAAGGUCAGGGUGGAUAUGAAAGGUUCAACAACUACUAAGGAUUAAAAAAAAUUUUAAAAAAAAAUUAAAAUUAAAAUUUGAAAAAAUAAUACUAUCACAAAACUAAUUUUUGUGUGUGUGAAAUGUGACACAAAGACAUGGGUGCCUAAAAAGAUAAAAGAUUCUAAAAAAAGUUGCCAACCUUUGACAUCACAGCCUCAAGCUCUGAAAAGUUAUUUUCAUUUAAGGAAUCAUCCAAGGCAUCAUCACUCUCCACUCCCCCAUAAAGCCUAAUUUCAUCAACCAAUACUCCUUUGUCAAUUAGCACCUGCCAAUUAACGUUUCUUUAAAAACUCAAGCACAAAUAUCAUUGGAAAGUAACAUAAAAGAAGUAACGUGCGUGUAGUACCUGUAGGAGUCCAGGAGCAUCUUCAUCCAAUGCUGUUUGAACUGAAUCCCUGCAAUUCAUUUUAAAAAACAGAAGACACUCAGACAGUAGACACAAGGCCAGAAAAACAAUGUUCAAAAAUUCAUUCUGUGGAAACAGAAAUUACGUGGCACUUCUUUUCCUUUUCCUAGGACGAUUGAUGUUUAUUGGUUUAGAACAUUCUGUAACAAUAGAGCAAUAAUCCACAAAAGAAUGCUCAAUCUUUCUCAAGCAUUUGCACUUUCUGGAAAUACUCAAGUCAGAAGCCUCUUCUGGUACCAGCAAUUUAAUCCGAUCUCGCAGUGACAUAUGAUCUAGUUCAUCUCCACAGGACUCAUCAUCAGUUUGCAAUUCACUCUUCACUGGCAGUGUGUUAUCCACAGAAUUCAUAUCUGGGCAAUGCAAAUCAUCCAUAUCUGAUGGUUCAGCCUUAACUUUGAGAAAGGUUGAUGAAGUUGAACUAGUCAUACUAUCAGAGUUAGCAGGCACAGCAUCCAGUAUACCACAUGAUUUACACCCUGGGGAAAUUUUCCCAGAUGAGCAUAUCAUGUCAUUUUCAUGAAUUUCCAUAGAACAACUUGACUUAGUUGAUUCAGUCUCUUGCCAGGAACUGGCUAAUUGCAAACAAUGUCGGGGUAAUCCUGAUAUAAUAUAAUUUGAUGAACCAAAAAAUGAAGUCAGGCCAACAUUAAAUGCAUUUCUUUCAGGAACAUUGUGAGUCAUCUUUCCAGUCACUGAAGACUCAUCAACAGAAUGACUACCUGUCUUUCCCUUCCCAGCAGAGUCUUGAAUAAGGUCUUCCAUAACUGGUUUAGACAACCCUCUAGACCCACCCUGUGUAGAAUAAAGUAAUCAGCCACUCUAGUCAAAAGAAAUCAAAAAUAAUAAUGUAAUAUAACACUAGGACAUUUAACAGAUAAAGUUUGUCUUUCCCUGCUGUGCAGUACCCUGUGAAAAUCAAGCAAAAGAAAUCAAUUAUAAUUGUACACAAGUUAUAAAAUAUGAUUGAUAGAUACUAACUUAUAUUGAAUUAGAAAAAUGACAGAAAAUCAGUAGCUGAUGAAAACUACGAAAUGUCUAUUGUCCAAUCACAGCAAAGUAUAAACCACAAACCACAUAAAAGAGGUACAUGUUUAAGCAAAACUAACUCAAGAACAUGGAGAGGAGAAAACAAAUACACCAUCAACAACAUGGAAAAAUUACAGAACUGACUCCUAUCUUAUUUUUUUCUCUAAAACCUUCCACAAACAACUAUGAAGAGAUCUGAAGAGUUCAUUCCAAUAGGGAAUCCUAUCACUACUAGAAAACUUUAAAAGUUCUCUUCUAUAAAAAAAAAUUAAAAAAUAAAAAUAAAAAUAAAAAGCUUUAUUUUAAGUUAAUCGAAUAAAUUAUAACUUAACCAAAGGAGUGUUGAAACCAUAGGUUUGAUUUUUUGGAGUUUGAAUUUAAAAAUAAAACCAGAAGAUAAGGCUUGACUAAGUCAUAUUAUUUUGGGUUGUUUAGUUUUGAUAAGUCCUAGAUUUUUAGGAGUUAGAAUUUAAAAUAAAACCAGAAGAUAAGGUUUGAUUGAAUCCUAUUAUUAUGGACUGUUCAGUUUAGAUAAGUCCUAGUGUGUUUAAAUUUGUUUUUAUCUCUAGUUUAAAUUAGAGAGAAUAUCGGAUGAUAUUCUGCAGAAUGGGAUUGCUUCGUCUAUUUAAGUUCUCAAUGUAAACCAAAUUUUUUCAAUAGAGUAUCAUUCAGUUUCUCUUCCAAAUUCAAUAUGGUAUCAGAGACCAAGAUCCGAACAUAAACAUGGUGAAAACUGCAAUGACUGGCGAACAUCCAGCAAGGUCUUCAAAUGUCUCCAGCAAGGUCUUCAAAUGUCAUCUCCAAUUCUUCUCUUGACGAUUCCGAUGGUAAUGGUGGUUCUGAAAAUUCCAUUCACCACAUUACUGUCCACAAAUUAAAGGGCAAGAAUUAUCUCCAAUAGUCUCAAUCGGUAAUGAUGUAUAUAUGUGGGAGAGGCAAAGACAACUACAUCGAAAACAGCCCUUGCGAAGAAUGAUGUAUCUUACAAAACCUGGUUUUCCAAGAACAAUAUGAUUAUGUCUUGGCUUACUAAUUCCAUCGAGACAGACGUAGGCCAGACGUUCCUAUUCUAUAAGACAGCAAAAGAAAUUUGGGAUGCAGCCAAGGAGAUGUUUUCAGACAACGAAAAUGCAGUAGAGGUGUUUGAAAUCAAAAGUCAACUUCUAGUUACAGCAAGGGGACCUCAGUGUGACCCAAUACUUCAGCAUUCUCUCCCGAUAUUGGCAAAAACUGGACAUUUACGAAGAAUUGGAAUGGGAUUGCGCUAGUGACAUCAUCAAAUAUCAGAAAAUUGUGGAAAAAGAAAGGAUCUUCACAUUCUUGGUGGAACUCAACAAAAAUCUCGAUGAAGUCCUAGGAAGGAUUCUUAGCACUAAGCCACUCCCAUCACUUCGAGAAGCGUGUUCUGAAGUCCGACAAGAAGAGAGCCGAAAGAAGGUCAUGAUGACAACUCAUCACAUCGCUUUUCAAGCAACGACGGAUCAGCCUCGGCCACCAAGGGACUAAAUUCUCAACACUUUGAUUCACGAAGGAGAUCCAAUAAGUCAUGGCGUGAUCAUUGUAAUCGAGUUGGUCACACUUGAGAAACUUGUUGGAAAAUUCAUGGGAAGCCUUCCAAUUGGAAAAGUAACAGAACUCAGGAAAAUGAACCUCGAGAUUAUCAUGCCACCAAUGAUGAACCACCACAAUCCAAUAACUCAGCCAACAAAACACCUUUCAGCCAAGAACAGAUGGAGCUACUUCAGAAACUCCUCACACGUGAUCCUUCGAGUACAUCCACUAUAGGAUCAGGUUUCAUUGCCCAUAAAGGUAUAUGUUCCAAAGCCUUGAAUGCUUUUUCAAAGUCAAACUCAUGGAUUAUCGCCUCCGGGUCAUCCAAUCACAUGACCGGUGAUAUAACUCUUUUUCACUCUUAUCAACCUUGUUCUGAGAGUUAUAAAAUUAAAAUAGUUGAUGGUUCUUACUCACCGAUGGCCGGUAAAGGGAGUGUCAUUGUUCCGAAUAGCUUUAGAUUGCUCUUUGUUCUUCAUGUUCCCAAGCUUACGUGGAACCUGCUCUCUAUAAGCAAAGUCACUAAAGAUUUGAACUGUUACUAAAUUUUUUCCUAAUCAUUGUGAAUUUCAAGAAAUGGAGAUGGGGAAGUUGAUUGGUUGUGCCUGGGAGCAUGAGGGUUUAUAUAUCUUUGGCAAUAAAGCUUCAAAAGGACACACUCAAAAGGCAAGCUGCAAUGUUAUUUCAUCUUUUACAAAUUCCAGUGACCAUGAAAUAAUGGUUCAGCACUUUAGGCUAGGCCACCCAAGCUUUCCAUAUUUGAAAAAGUUGCUUCCAUCGUUAUUUGGAAAUAAAAACUUAAGUCAUUUCAUAGUUCUGUCAAUUAUUUAAACAUUGUCGAAAUUCUUAUGUUUCACGACCUUAUAAAAAAUCUCAUCUUUUUUCACUCAUACAUAGUGAUUUAUGGGGACCUUCCAAUAUUAGCUACGUAAUAUGCUCUAAGUGGUUCAUUUCAUUUAUUGAUGAUCAUACACGAAUAUGUUGGGUGUAUUUGUUAAAAGAAAAAUCUAAAGCAAAAGAGAUUUUCAAAAAUUUUAAUGUCAUGAUUAACACUCAAUUCCAAACCAAAAUCCAAAUUUUCCGCACUAACAGUGGUACUAAAUACUUUAAUUCAAUUCUUGGACCAUAUCUUCGUGAACAUGGCAUUAUUCAUCAUUGCUACACCACAACAAAAUGGAAUUUCAUAAAGAAAAAACCGCCAUCUAUUGGAAGUGCUUGAUCCCUUAUGUUCACGACAAAUGUUCCUAAAUAUUUUUUAGGGGAAGCUGUUCUCACUGCAUCAUACUUGAUAAACAGAAUGCCCUAGAGUAUUAUAGUACCAAACUCCCAUCGAAGUCCUAAAAAAUUGCUACCCUAACAUUCAACUAGUGUCAUCCCUUCUCAACUAGUGUCAUCCCUUCCACCAAAAAUUUUUGGUUGCAACGUUUUUGUCAACACUCAUGCUCAAAACAUAACAAAACUAGAUCCAAGAGCCCUCAAAUGUCUUUUCUUGAGAUAUUUUUUUUUUUUUUUUGAUACGUAAAUCGAAAUAUAUUAAGCAAAAAAGGCCAAUAGCCACACAGUAUACAGGAGAUAUACAAGGCGACUAUAACCUCUCAACAAAAAAACAAAAGAGACCAAGAAGACCUCACCCCCCCUAGGUGGAUGCUAGCCACUCUAAAAAACCUAGAAGGGAUAUAGAAUCCUCUCCAAUAUCCAAUCUAGACCAGCCCCACAAGUUACAAACAAAAAAAUUUCUUUAACUUCUGAAUAUGUAGCUCACCCCCCUUAAAGGCUAAUCUAUUCCUUUCUUUCCAAACCGUCCAAAAAAUACAUAACGGGAUGGAUUUCCAAAUUUUUUUCCUUUUUUUCCCCACAAAAGAACCUCUCCAGCUCAAUAGGACCUCCUUUACAGUUUCUGGAAAGACCCACUUUACACCUACAAGCCCAAGGACUAAUUCCCAAAGGGCUCUAACCACUGUACAGUGAAUAAGGAUAUGAUUUACAGAUUCUUCUGCACAACCACACAAAAAACAGCAAUUCGGGAGAUGCCAUCCUCUUCUUUGGAGUCUAUCAAGCGUUAACACCUUCUCCCACGAUGCCUCCCACGCAAAGAAAGCGACUUUGGUAGGAACACUAUUCACCCAAAUGCUUUUUUCCGGGAAAACAAUGUCACUGGGAUUGACUAAACCACUGUACGCCAUCUUGACUUUAUAUCUACCGCUUUUUCCUCCCUUCCAAGAGAUUGAAUCUUCCUCCAAAGCCGGCCUAAGCCCUCUCAACUUAAGGAGCAGAUCUCCUACCAUGCCCACCUCCCAGUCAUUAAAAUUCCUCAAGAAUCUUAGAUUCCAACCUCCUUGAUCAGAAUUCUGGUCCCACAUCUCCUCCACCGUAGCAUUCCUGUCAACCGCCAAGGCAAAGAGGUGCGGGAAAGAUUGAGACAACGCUGUACCCGCACACCACACAUCAGUCCAGAAUCUGAUCUUAUUGCCCUUCCCCACCCUAAGCUCUAGGCUGUCCCAGCACCAUUCAUUUUCCUUCAUAAUCUCCUUCCACACCCCUACUCCAAACGCCCCAUUAGGUUUUUUAGACCUCCACCCGUAUUCUUCUUGCCCAUACUUUGCCCAAAUCACCUGCUUCCAUAGGUUCUCUCUUUCACAUGCGUAUCUCCAUAUCCAUUUACCAAGCAAAGCUUUGUUCAUAAGGCCCAGCCUUCUCAAACCCAGCCCACCCCUCCCUUUGUCCCCACACACUAUCUCCCAUUUCACCAAGUGUGCUUUCCUCUCCAUAUUUCCCCCUCCCCAUAGGAAGUCUCUUUGUAAUUUUUCUAGCCUUCUAACAACUAUAUUGGGCAUCCGGAAUAGAGACAUUUGGUAAAUGGGUAUGCUGGCCAUGGUGCUUUUAAUCAGAGUGAUUCUCCCACCUUUGGAGAUGUAUUGCCUUUUCCAUAACGCGAGUCUUCUCCUCACUCUUUCUUCCACCCCGUCCCACAUCGAAGAGGCCCUAUUAGGAGCCCCUAAAGGUAGGCCCAAGUACUGGGAUGGCAAAGAUCCCACACGACACCCUACCUCCGCUGCCAGCUCCUCAAUAUCAUCCACCUCACCCACCGGGAUGAUUUCACUUUUGCUCAAAUUAAUCUUUAACCCCGAAGCAGCUUCAAACCAGAAGAGAACCCAACUUAAGUGACUCAGGUGCUCUUUGUUGGCCUCACAGAAAAUAAUUGUAUCAUCAGCAAAAAAUAAAUGAGAAAUGUUCAAAGCACUCUCUCCGCCUUCCCGAAUGCUACACCCUGAUAGGAAACCCCCUUCCACAGCUCUCCUCAGAAGGAUACCCAACACUUCCAUGCCCAUGACGAAGAGGUAAGGAGAUAGAGGAUCUCCUUGGCGGAGCCCCUUAGUACUCGGGAAGAAACCAGCAGGAACCCCAUUCACUAAGACAGAGAAUCUUGCUGUAGAUAUACAACUCCACAUCCAACCCAACCAUUUUUGCCCAAAGCCCAUUUUUUGAAGAACUUUCAUUAAGAACUGCCAAUUCAAGCUGUCAUAGGCUUUCUCAAUGUCCAAUUUGCAAAUGACCCCCUUCUCUUUUCUUUUUUGCCACGAGUCUAUCACCUCAUUUGCAAUUAGGGAGGCAUCAAGAAUCUGUCUACCCAUCACAAAGGCAUUUUGAGCAGGGGAGACCAAUUUCCCAAUCACUUUUUUCAGCCUAUUAGCCAGUACUUUAGCCAACAAUUUAUACAACCCCCCCAAGAGACUAAUAGGUCUAAAAUCCCCAAUAUUUUCAGCCCCACCUUUCUUAGGAAUCAGGACCAAGAAUGUAUUAUUUAGGCUCUUGAGAAACGUUUUCUGCUCAUGGAACUCCUUGAACAUUGCCAAGAUCUCCUCUUUAACAAAACCCCAACAACUUUGCCAAAAAGCUACUGUAAAGCCAUCCGGCCCCGGGGCUUUAUCCCCAUUCAUCUCCAACAAUGCUGAAUGAACCUCCUCCUCAGAAAAAGGGGAUUCCAAAUUUUCUGCAUCUUGUUGACUGAUCUGGUCUAAGCACAGCCUCCCAAUAUCAGCCUGCCACCCCGCUUCUUUUGAAAGCAGCUUCUGAUAUGCAUUUGCCACUCCAUCCCUCACUUCCUGCUCCUCCGUAAGGCUCACCCCAUCAAUUUUAAUUCUGUCCAGAUAAUUAUUCCUACGAUUUGCAUUUGCUAUACGGUGAAAAUAACCCGUAUUUCUGUCCCCUUCCCUUAGCCAGAUCUCCCGUGAUAAUUGUCUCCAAUGUGUUUCCUCCAAAAGCAUCCAUUUUUGAUAAUUUACCUUAGCUUCAUUUUUUAAUUCUGUUUCCUCCAUUGACAGAAUUCUUUCACUUUCUACACGGUCCCAAAAUUCCACUUGUUGCAGGGCUGCCGCUUUAUUACAUCCCAGAUUCCCGAACACCUCCUUGUUCCAAAUUUUUAAUUUCUGUUUAAUUUCCUUCAACUUAGUAGCCAAUCUGUAACUAGCACUGCCUCUCACCUCAAUCUCCCACCACCAUCUUCGAAUCAUAUCUUGGAAUCCCUCCACCUUAAGCCACAUAUUCUCAAAUCUAAAGGGAGAGGGGCCUCCUCUCAGACCUCCUCCCUCUAGUGAGACCGGGAAGUGAUCAGAUAAAGGCCGAGGCAGUCUACUCUGUAAAACGCUACUAAACUGAUCCAGCCAGCUGGUAUUCACCAAAAACCUAUCCAAUCUAGCCCAAGACUGAUUGUUAGGUCCCCCACUCCAAGUAAACACUCCCCCUUGCAUAGGAAUAUCCCUCAGCCCUAAUUCAUCAGCAACCUGGGCAAAUCUCCUCAUAGCUGAAGAUAUUCUCCCCUGUCUAUUCCUUUCCCUUUGGAACAAGGUGAUGUUAAAGUCACCUCCUACACACCACGGGUCUUCCCAGAGGCCUCUGAUCGCCCCAAUUUCUUCCCACAGCCACUCCCUUUCCUCUUUAGUGAAAGGUCCAUAAACUCCCGUGAACACCCAAACCAUCCCAUUAUCCACAUUUUUGAAUCUGCAGGAUAAAGAGAAUUGGCCCUCCUCCCAAUCCAUAAUCUCCAAUGUCCUUUUGUCCCAACAUAUCAGAAUUCCUCCCGCAGUCCCGCUUGCAUCCAAGGCCCUCCAAUCCAAAAAUCUUCCCGACCCUAGACUUCUUGCCACCCCCUCCGACAUUGAUUGGAUUUUUGUUUCCUGGAUACACAUUAGAUCUACCCUCUGAUUCCUUAUAAAUGUCUUAAUGAUUUUCCUUUUCUCCUUUUCAUUCACCCCCCUCACAUUCCAGCUCAGCAAUUUUAGCUUCAUUGUAGCACUGAAAGAUGGCACCCUUUACCCUUUGGUGGGUCUUUCUGCUUCCUUCCCUUCUCAUAAUUCACUGAGCACUCCAACCUCUUCAAUUCCCUUUCAAACUUGGACUUUUCUAGCAGCACCUUAUCAUGUAUUCUCUCCCUUCUUUUUCUGAUUUUAAUCAAAAAGUCCAGGAUUUCCUUUUCUAAACCCUCAGUCGAAAAUCCCAAGAAGUGACUGAAUUUUGCCAGGCUGCUUUCCUCCCAUCUCUCCUCCUUCUCUCCCCUUUCAGCUUGAGGGUCGUUCAAUCCUGGACCCCACUCCUCAUCCCUAUACAUAGUGAUGCCGCCAUUAUUCUCUACCAACGCCCAGCAUCCAAUUACAUUCUCCUCUGACCCUUCACUCGGUACUACACAUAAGGGAACCUCAAACUGAGGCUCCACCCCAGCAUUUCCAGAACGAUCGUAAUGCCCCCCCUCCGGAGCCCGAUCAAGAGAAAAAGAAAUAAGAUGAGAAGACCCAGGCACCCUUUCCCCCCUCAACAAAAGGACAGACCCGUACCUCAUAGCUUCCUCAAUAAGCGUCGAAUCUGUCGCCGAGUGCAAGAACUUCGUAUUUCUCUUUCUCAAAUCCUCUGUCUCCCAAUUUUUUAGAACUUCUUCCUCCAUGUUGCUCUCGUUAUUUACCAAUGGAGAGGCCGGCGAACACGCCUUCAGUUGCUGAUCUUUAUUAGUGUCUUGAAGCAGUGGCUUACUUGGGCUUUCCUCCAGGUCCAUUCCUCCAUCACACGAUGGGCUUUCCUCCUCAGUAGUCCACCAUGUUUUUGAUGGCCCAGCCUCCUGCCCAGCUAGCACUCCCACCACUCCUUUUAGCUUUAAGUUUAAGCCCAUCGUUGUCCCUUGAUUGUAAGGCCCACCCACCCUCUUCAUUCCUUUUGGUCCCAAAUCUGGGCCUGCCGAUUGAGGCCCAAAAUCCACAGCGUCCUGGGUUGACCGGGCCCCCAAUCCUCCUUGUUCCCAUUUUUCAAUCACCCGGCCCACUUCUCCCUCCUGAAUCCCCAUCAUUUUUUCUGGCAGCAGCAGCGCCUCGAGCUGUGUGCCUUCCACCUCCUUCCCCACUCGCGUAACAGCGCGUGAGGCACCAUCACCCCUAACCUCUCCUCUGGUACUCUGGGUCACUUCGCUCCUAUUCUCCUGAGCCUUUUUCAGAGACGGUUUCAGCUCCCACCAGAGGGCAAGAGCGUACACCUUCUCCUCCACUGAGAUCUCCAACCUACUUGGCAGGUCUUCCCCGUUUGUUCUGAUCAGGAUUCGCGCCCAUUGAAGCUCCUGCAUCUU
rnacentral:lncRNA from 1 species